AAAAUAUCUUUCCUAAAAAAGUCAAUAAUAAAUUAUUCUUACCCUUCCAUGACUUAGUUUAUUAUAUUUACUUAUAUAAUUAGCCAAUAAUCUUAAAUCUCACCAAAAUUUCCAAUAAUACAAUUAAUUAAAUAAUCUUCCAUUGAACAUUUAAUUAAUCACAAUUUCAACAAAACAAACAAUUCUAAAAAAUUAUAACACUAGACUAAAUCCAUCAUAAAUUAAAUUAAAUUAAGAUACUUUAAAAAUAAGAUUAUGUCCCUCCUUUGAGAAACUUUCGUCCUUGAAAGUUCUAAUCCUUGUAUAGCUCGGGAUAAUGAGCUCUCAUGUUGUCCUCUCUCUCCCAAGUAGCUUUUUCGACCUCGUGGUUUUGAUAAAGAACAUUAAUUAAUUCCCCUGUUAUGAAGCAACUUAACUUCUUUUGCCAAAAUCUCAACUGGUUGCUCCUCAUAGCUCAAGUUCUCAUUGAUUUGCAAUGACUCAUAAUCAACUAUAUGUGUUGGAUCUGUUACACACUUCCUCAGCAUGGAUACAUCGUAUACAUCAUGAACUGCAGACAAUGACAGAGGCAAUGCCAAAUGAUGAGUUACGAAACGUGGACUCAGGUUUCCCUUCUUCUCAAACCUCAUAACACCCUUCAUAGGUGCUACCUUUACAAAAACCAUGUCCCCUACAUCAAACUCAAGAUCCCUACGUUGUUCAUUGGCGUAACUCUUCUGUAUGCUCUGCGCUGUCAACAUGCGGGCUCUAAUCUUCUGUAUGGCCUCAUUGGUGGUCUGAACUAGCUUGGGACAUAACAUCCUCUACUCACCAACUUCACCCCAACAUACAGAGAAUCUACAACACUUACCAUGCAGAGCUUCAAAUGAUGUCAUGUCAAUGGUAGCCUGCUAACUGUUAUUAUAAGCGAACUCCAUCAAAUGCAAAUAGGAGUCCCAACUUCCUGAAAACUCUAGCACACAUGUUCGGAACAUAUCCUCCAAAAUUUGGCUCAAACGCUCUGUCUAACCAUCAGUCUAAGGGUGAACAGUUAUACUAAAGUCCAAUCUCGUGCCCAUGGCAGCCUGAAGUCCUUUCCAAAACUUGGAAGUAAAAUAGGCAUCUCUAUCAGAAACAAUUGACACGAGCACUCCAUGUAGUCUCACUAUCUCGGUCAUAUACAACUGUGCCCACUUACUGGCAGUACAAGUGGACUUCUCUGAGAUGAAAUGGGCUGACUUCGUGAGCUUGUCAACAAUAAACCAAAUUACUUUAUAACCAUUCAGAGACCUUGGCAGUUCUAAAAUGAAAUCUAUAGACACAUUCUCCCACUUUCAUUCCGGCACACUCAAAGGUUGCAAAAAACCUGUUGGCUUCUGUUUUAGUGUCUUCACCUGUUAGCAAAUUAGAGACUUAUUGACAAAGUCUGGCACUUCCCUCUUCAUAUUUUUCCACCAGUAAACUUGUUUUAAAUAUUUAUACAUCUUUGUACUAUUUGGAUGCAUAGAAAGUGGAGAAUUAUGGGCCUCAACCAACAACUCUGUCUUAACUACACUGUCUGCUGGCACACAUAACCGUCUCUCGAACAUGAGUCCAUCAUCAGAGGAUAAAGAGAACUCCUCAGCUUACCCUACUUCUGUUAAGCAUCGCUUAUCAACCAAAUAAGGAUCAGUGAGCUGAGCAAUAAUAAUUCUCUGCCUCAAAGUUGGUUGUACUGACACCUGAGCUAACUGUGAGGUGACUUCUCCUACUAAAAAUGCAAUCUUAGCUCUCUCAAGAUCUCUGUGCAAAGGAACCUGACUAGUAAUGAGUGCUACAGAGUAUGAUACCUUCCUACUAACUCACGAUCUCAUGAUCAUAGUCCUUGACUAACUCGAGCCAUCCGCGCUAUCUCAUAUUUAUCUCAUAUUUAAGUCCUUGACCAAUUCAAGCUCUUAUGGUCAAUGAAGAUCUGAAUCUUCUCACCAUAUAAAUAAUGCCUCCAAAUCUUAAGUGCAAAAACUAUUGCUGCCAAACUCUAAAUCAUGUGUAGGGUAGUUCUGCUCAUGACUCUUCAACUGAGGAGAGGCAUAAACAACCACCUUACCUUAUUGCAUCAAUACACAACUCAAUCCUUUCUAAGAGGCAUUGCUGUAAAUCACAUAACUCCCAGAUCCAUCUGGCACUAUAAGGACUGGUGUAGUAACAAGUUUCUGUUUAAGAUCCUGGAAACUGCUCUCACAUGCUGGGCUCCAAACAAAAGGAUUCCCCUUCCUGGUUAGCUAGGUCAACGGACUAGCUAUACAAGAGAAGCCUUCCACGAACCUUCUGUAAUAACCUAUUAAACCCAAAAAACUUUAAACUUCACUGACUGUACAAGGUCGAGGCCAAAUGGUAACAACUUUAAUCUUUGCUGGGUCUAUAAUAACUCCUUCACUGGACACUACAUGGCCAAGGAACAAAACUUGCUUCAGUCAAAACUCACACUUGGAAAACUUGGCAUAUAGCCUAUUGGCUCGAAGAGUCUCUAAUACCUUAUGCAAAUACUCCUCAUGCUCAGCCUCUGUCUUGGAGUAAACCAAGAUGUGAUCAAUAAAAAAUAUCACAGAAGUGUCUAAGAAAUCCUUAAGCACCUUAUUCAUCAAAUCCAUAAAUACACCAGGAGCAUUUGUCGAGCCAAAGGACAUCACAAUAAACUCGUAAUGUCCAUAUCUGAAAAGGCAGUCUUGGGAAUAUCACUGUCUCUAAUCCUCAAUUGGUAAUAUCCUGAUCGUAAAUUGAUCUUAAAGAACACAGUGGCUCCCUAAAAGUGAUCAAACAAGCCAUCAAUCCUGGGCAAUGAAUAUUUGUUCUUGACUAUCACCUUAUUAAGCUUUUUAUAGUAAAUGCAAAGACACAUCAACCCAUCUUUCUUCUUCACAAAUAAUGUCGGUGCUCCCCAAGGUGACAUACUAGAUCGAAUAAAGCCCUUGUCCUAUAAUUCUUGCAACUAGACCUUCAACUCCUUCAGCUCAGCUGGAGCCAUUCUGUAUGGAGCUCUCGAUAUGGGACCAAUGCCUGGUUUCAGUUCAAUAGCAAAAUCAACCUCUUUGUGAGGAGAAAGUCUUGAAAGCUCUUCUAAAAAAACAUCGGGGUAUUUCCUUACCAUUCAUUCAGAUGAUAAGGAUACAUCGGGCUCUCUGGUAUCUACAACACUAGCCAAGAUACUCUAAGUACCUUGGUUGAACAACUUACUGGCCUUCAUGGUUGAGAUAACUUUGGGUAGGCCACAGUCCCCGCCCCCUUAUACUUUAAACUAGUCGCCUCAUGAGGGUUAAAAACUACCUCCUUGCGAGAAUAAUCUAUGUUUGCAUGGUUAGCAGAUAGCCAAUUCAUGCCCGAUAUUACAUCAAAGUCUUGCAUGUGUAAUACUAAUAAAGUUACAUCUAAAACAUAUAUGCUAUUUCUAUUUAACAUGUUUUUAUCUUUCCUUUCGACAACAUAAUUUCUCCAGAUGGAGUAGAGACAAAUAACAUAUAACUCAAGGGUUCUACUUGUAAACUCAUAUGUUGAACAAAAAUUGGCGAUAUAAAAGAAUGAGAGGACCCUGAGUCAAAUAAUAAUAAAGCAACGUGCUCCAAGAUUAGAAGUGUACCUAUCACCACUGUGUAAGCUUUCUCAGCCUCCUGUUGAUUAGUGGCAAAAACUCACCCCUAUCGAGAUGUAGAAGUCUAGUUCGAGAUAGGUUCAAACUAUUUCUGAGGGUAAUUAUCAGCUAUAUAUAUGUCAGGUUGCCUACACUUGUAGCAUAUACUACUUCCUAUUAGGCAAUGACCUGAAUGAGACCUUUCACAAUUAGAACACAUGUAUACUUCCUUCAAGGUUUUGCCUGCCUCAACAACCUACUGUCUAAGCUGCUGGAACAAACCACCUAAUCUCAAAUUCCUUUGUGGUGCUACUGUAGGCUACUGCUAAGCCUUCCUUUUCUACCCUACAAUUGGACCAUUCUCUACAGCCUUGGCCAUCUUUAUCCUCUCAUGCAAACUCAAAUCCACUGUCAUGUGUAGUGCAUCAUCUUAGGUAGCUAGUCUAAAGACUCUAACGAAACCCUGGAUCUCCUACUUAAUGCCUUUGACAAACUUGUCAACUCUCUCAGUCUCAGUUCUCACUAACUCAGGUGCAAAUCGGGAUAACACAUCGAAGUCUUGAUCAUACUCCUCUAUGGCCAUAUUGCCUUGCUCCAACUUUAAGAACUCUUGACACGAAGAAGAAUUUGGCAUGAAAAUUCUCCUUAAACUACUUUUAGGUGAUCUGACUCAUAUCUCCACCCAACAUCCUCUAUGUGGACUUCCACUAGCCUCUGUCUCUAUCAGUUAGUAAGAACACGACGCACUAAACUUUUUGGUCAUUGGAGCACUUCAUGUAACGAAAGAUAGUCUUCACCGAACUCAACCACAUCUGCGCCUUGGUGGAGUUUGCCAAGGAUCCAUCGAAAGUCCGAGGGUUAUACUUCCUGAAAUCCCUCAAGUGUUUGGCUUCUGCUGAAAGCAUAUCAAGUAGGUUAUAUGCUACAAUUGGGGCCUAAACUCCCGCAACUGGGAUCUAAACACUUGCAGCCGGUGUCCGUACAUGAGUUGUUUGGAUAUCCUAGGUAGGUUGUCACUGUGCCAAUACUUUGAACAAUAAGUCUAUGUACAUUUACUAGAAGAAAACUACCCUACAAUGACAGUUAUAUAUCUCAAAAAAUGAAUGGAAGAAAAAAAAACUGUCACGAAAUAUAAAAUUUCGCGUUUUUGGCAGGAAAAGACGGAAUUUUUCGGAAAACACUUUUCGUGACAGUUAUUAACUGUCAUAGAAUGUUAGGGUUAAAAUUUUUUUCUUUUUUCCUUUUCUUUUCUUUUUCCUUUUUCUUUCUUUUCCCUAUUUCCUUCUUCCUCCCCGUGCGUCCUUCCCCUUCUCCCCAGCCGCAACCGCCGCGCCUCUUCUCCUUCCUCCCGUACGCCACGACGACUCCACCGUCUCCUUCUCCUUUCCUUCUCUUUUCUCUUUUCCUUCCGCCGUUCCCUUCCGUCUUUCUUUCCGCCGCAGCCCAGCCGCCCCAUCCUUCCCCUUCUCUCCGUUCGCGAAGCAAAACCGCCACCGACCGACCUCCAUUCCUCUUCUCCUUCCCGUUCGCAGCCCCGCCGCAAACCGUCGCCUCCCUUCCCUUCCAUUUUCUUCUUCCGUCCGCAGCCCUGCCGCAAACCGCCGCGUCUCCCCUACUGAAGCCGAGCGUCGCGACCCUUCUCCUCUUCUCUUCAGUUUGCAAAGCAGCCGUACGCGUCCAGAUCUGCCGCCGUCCAGAUCUGCACCGCAAGACCGCGUCGUUGCCCUUCCGCCGCUGCCCGGUCCAGAUUUGCGUCGCCGUGCACAGCCUCACCGCCGCUGAAACCGUUUCCGCGUCUUGUUCUGUUUCCGUCGAAGCCGAGCCACCGUGUGAAGCAGUAACCGCCAUGUAAUGCCCCAAAAGAAAAAGAAAACAAAAAAGGAAAGGUAUAUAUAUUAUUUUUAUUAAUUUAAAAAUAAUAAUAAUAAUAAUAAAGAAAUUUAUUAUUAUUAUUUUUUUUCUUGUUUCUUUUCUUUCUUCUUUUUCUUUUUUUUCUUUUUCUUUUUCUUUUUCUUUUCUUUUCUCUUCUCUUCUCUUCUCUUCUCCUCCCGUGCGCCGUGCGCCCUUCCCCUUCUCCCCGUUCGCAGCGCAGCAACCGCCACCGGCCGACCUCCAUUCCUCUUCUUCUUCCGUUCGCAGCAGCCGUCGGCCGCCACGUGACCACUACCCAGUCCAGAUCUGCGUCACAGCCCAGCAACCGCCGCCCCUAUUUCCUUCUUCCGCCGUGCGCCGCGACUCCCACCGAUCUUUUCCCUUCCGUUUUCUUCCCGCCGCAGCCCAGCCGCCCCAUCCGUUCGCACAGCAACCGCCGCCGGCCAUCUCCAUCUUCUCUUCUCCUCUCCGUUCCGUCCAAACCCAGCCGGACGUCGCUGCAACCAUCGGCCAGUUCGCGAGGCAGCCGUACGCGUCACCUUGCGGCCGCCGUCCAGAUCUGUACCGCAAGACCUUCCGCCGCUGCAGCCAUUGCUCUUCCGCCGCUGUCCAGCCGUCUCAGCCGGUUCUGUCUCCGUUGAAGCCAAGGCCGCCGCGUGAACCAGUAACCGCCACGCUCCCCGCUCACAACUGCCGCUCCACCUGCUAUCGACGUCGGCCGACUAGUUGCUGUAACCGUUCAGAUUUGCUGUAACCAUUCAGAUUCGCGGUCUGUUCGCGACGGUCUCCAUCCGUGAAGCCCAGCCGCCACGUUCCCUUUGGCCGACCGCUGACCGACCCACACUUAGGAUUUUUGCUGCGAGUUCGACAGUCGUGCGUUGAGGUGUUGGGAGUAACGUUAGGCUCCCUUACAUUCACAACCAGUUUGUGAGUUGUUGAGGGUUCAGUUCGCCAAUAUGUCGGUGAGUUGGAACUUACGUUGAGGAAAGUAAGUGAGAUAUGUAUCGUGAAAGUAAUUGAAUUUUGUGUUGUUGUGCUUAGGAUUGUUUCGAGGACGUUAGUUGAUUAAGGAGCUUCCCCAACUUUGAGGUAAGGGACUUUCUACUGGACUCACCUAAAGUUUUUGAGUUGUGUUGGACUGUAUGGAUGAUGAUUAAGAUGUACAUGUUUGGUUGUAGACUAAAUGUUUAGUGUAUGUUGUAUUUGACUGGAAACAUAUAUAUAUACAUUGACGUGUGAAUUGAUGUGGAUUGCCGAAAGUAUACAUGUGAAUGACUGAAAUUAUGCUUAUGUGUACAUGAUGAUAUUAAUAGAUUGUGCUGUAUAAAGAUUUGGAUGUGAACUAGUGAAUUUGUUUCGGUUGGAUGUGGAUUAUACUGAACUGUGGUUUGUGCUGGUGAACUAAGGGGUGUAUUGACUGUAUAGUUUAAUUGACUGACGUAUUAGUAUAUUAUUGACAGACAUAUGACUAAAGUGAGAUAAGUUGACUGUUAGGACGUCGAGAGAAAGAACUUUAUGUUUUGAAGUAACUGAAAGAUGGAUUGAAUGGAAUGAGGGGAUAAAUUGUUAGGUUGUAUUGGGAUGUUUACCUUGUAGGUGUCCCACGGGACCACCAAAGCUACUGCUCGAUUUCUUUCGCAAAACACUAAAUGAAAAAUGCAAUUAUAUCAAAGUUGAUGUCCUAAAGAAGAAAAGUAAAAGAGAAAAAGGGAUUUGGGGGCGAAACUCCGGGACAGGGACAGAGGGCCUGAGAAAAAUGGCGGCAAGGAUGAAAGCGGUGGCGACGCUGCCUAAUCUAAUUAGAACCCUUAAAAAUGAUCGCCGGAAGCCUGGUUUCAGCCAGCCUCUUCCGUCGUUGAGACGUGCCUUUUCACUUUACGAUCAGAUCAAUCUCAUCGACAAUGUCCCUGAAGAUCAGCUUCGUUUUCAACGGUACUGCCCUAACUUCUCCUUUUUGUCUUUUGCAUCGAUUUCUUUCCUCAAUUUUAUAUCUUUGACUCUUUUAUGCGGGGAUUUAAGGUAUACUGAGACGGGGUUCACUGUGAAUGGAGUGGAUUAUGAGGGCAGCUUGCUUUGUGUUGGGAAUUUGUUGAUGUCUUGGACUCCUAAGAAAUUUUCGGAAAUUACGUCUGAUAGGUUUGCUUUGCAUUUCUUGUUCCUAACUUACAAUACUCAAUUUACUUCUUUUGUUCUUUUUGGUGAUUGAAAUGUUUUUUUUUUUUUUUUUUUUUUGCAACUUAUCUAUCUUCCAGAUUGUGCGCCCUAUUCCAGGUAAAAUCUGUUGUUGUGUUUGGAAAAUGUGUUGAAUUAUUGGGCAUUGUUGAAGUAGUUUUAAUACGAGUGUCUAAAGAUACCUAGAUUUGACGUUUCUAUUGAAAUGUGUUUAUUACUAAAGGACGUCUGUGAUUUUCCUUGGCAAUUGGUGCCCAAAUGUUAUAUGGUAAGUUGUAUUGUCCUGUCAGAUUAUUGAGGUGAAGUGCAAGCUGGCCCGCGACUGUGGACGAGUAAGGUUCUUGGACUAGUUUUUCUGUGCUUGAGCAUGAGCAAGACUUUAACUUUAUCAUUCCUUUCCUUCUUUCAAUACUGUAACAUGUGGGGUAAGAUUUUCACGUCUGCCUUAGACGAGGAUAUCAUGUGAGAUAGUGCAGGUUGUGGCCUAAUUGUUCCUUUGAAGUAUCCCACAAUACAACCAUGCCUUAGUUUUGCUGUUUAAAUAAUUAGAUUUUUGAUAAUUUGACUCGUGUACCUAGUUAAAAAUGUAGACGGAUCUGAAGCUUUUAAACAGGAAGAUGAUGAGGAUUUUUUUUCUUCACUCUUUCUCGUUUUUUUCUUCCUUCUCUCUCUUUCGGCUGAUAAGCAAGUCUACCCUCCAUAUACCUUUCUUUGGCACUCCGAAUCGGUCUUAAUACUCCAUCCAGCUAGGUGAUAGCUUCUAACCUCUGCCGAUAUUCACACCUUCCCGAUCCCGAUACUCUCUCUAUUUUGAUUAUGCUAGAAGAGGGAAGAGGACCAAAUGAGAUAUUUACAUUAGCUAGCUAAUGUUGUAAGGGACGUGUAAUAUGUUAUAGAGGAGAUGGGAGAAUGAAUCUAGAAUUUGUAAAUUUGUUAUUGAGAAAGGGAGGAAUAACAUAAUUAGAGUGGACUCGUAAUAUUUAUCAAUUAAAAGCUUCUUGAAUAUGUGAAAGAUUUGCACUUUUCAGCCAUUGAAUGAAUUACCCAAGACCUAAACUCUUGUUUCUUUAUUCUUUCUCUGAUUCUGAGAUGAGGAUGUCAAGUGUACGUUUCUGUUAACAAGGUUUAUGGUUUUCUUUCUUAGGCAUUCUUCUAGAAUCUGACAUGAGAGAUUACUUCCAUUUAAAGUUGAAUGCAUAAGCUAGCCUGUAAACCAAAUAUUCUGUUUAUUUUCGAGCUCUGCCGUCAUCAUCUUAGUGCCGUGUAUUGUUCAUAUUUGCUCUUUGCUAGCACAUUUUUGUUGAUUUCUACUGUCAACUGAUUAAUUUUCUUAAUUUUAAUUUUUUUUAAAUCUUUCUUAUUGUCAGAAAUUCUAAUACUUGGCUGUGGGAGAUAUACUAAACCAGUAAAUCCUGAAUUGAGGCAGUUCAUUCGUUCCACUGGCAUGAAGUUGGAAGCUGUAGACACGGUACUUUUGGUUUGAAAUUAUGUUGUUUGUCGAAUUUGUCUUGAUCCAUAAGAUAAUUACUUUUCAUGCAUCUGAAAAUCAAGAUUUUGAGCUAUCUUAUGGAUCUGUGACUAUUGGUGGGAAACAGUAUAUUCUUUGUUUAGGAUAAGAAAAUAGGUGGGAAAACAUCCACCAACCAUAAUAGCCUCGUCAAAAGAGAUUGUAGUGGGUUACUGUAUUGUCUAGUUUGUGAUAAGAUAAAUUAACGUGUCAUCAAUUCACCAGUAACAUCCUCUUUUCCUUACAAUCCCUUGAUCAGAUGGGUAUUAAAGACUUUUUAGUGUAGGAUAUUAAAAACCACAUGUUUCUUCAUCAAUAAAAAGAAAAGAAAAAAAAACUAACCCACAUGAUGUAGUGGAAAUAGGAUCUGAAUUAUAGGUGAUAUUUGAGAAUGAUGUUAAGUUCAACUGUUCAAGAACUAUCUUUAGAGCCAUAUGUCAACUUUUGCUUAAGAAAGAAACAAGUGGGUUGUUGUUGAGUAAAUUACCAAUUACAAUGAUCAACCGGGGACUUGCUAGUUUAAACAGUGGGCUGUUUGGAAUCUCGAAUGGUCUCAUUUUGUCUAAAUUUAACUAGUUUUUGACACGAUGGAUAAUUUGUUACUGUAGAUCAAGUAGUUAUCUGCACUCUCUCUUUCUCUCAAGGCAAAUCAUCCAUGUCCAGCAAUUCUCUUCAUAUCCUAUGUAUUUCCGUACACUACAAACCUAAUCGAUAUUUGAUAUUUGAAAAAUGAGGGUACUUCAGAUAUAGGGCAGAAUUAUGCACUCUACUUGGGAAGAGGGCUGUCUCUUCUUGUACAACUACUUUUCACUUAACCUUUAACCUCAGACCUUGGGGAGGUUGAGAGUACAUGUAUAGACCAGUUGACCUAUGUUCGAGUUGGCAUGUUUAUCCUUAACAAAGCUUUGUUAUUUGCAGAGAAAUGCGACAUCAACUUAUAAUAUCCUAAAUGAGGAGGGUAGAAUUGUAGCUGCAGCGCUUCUGCCUUAUGGAGUUUCUUCAUGACCCACCGCCCAGAGCCAGACUCGGUUGUUGUUAUGGAUGCCUCUAAAUUGCAGGAUUCUUCUACCUCUCAAAUCUUACAAGUAUUACUUAGCGCUUUGAUCUCUACUCAUUUGUAGAAUGACUACAACUAUCGAGUCACUUGGUCCUUUUUGCUGUAUAGAUAUACUGUUAUUGUCAUAACCUGCCAUCAAGAAUUAUAGUGUAUAUAUAUUAAAGUGUUGGUUAUUUUCUUGUACAUUGGUGUGAAACUUGUAUAAUUUCAAAUUUGUCAUUCUCAGCUACAUUAUUGUCAUUCUAAUGGUUCGUGUAAUGGUGGAGCUGCAUGGAGAACAUAAUAAAACUAUAGGAAAUUGAGAAAUGUGAUAGUUAAUAGUUGUUGUAAAUUGGAGAACGAUGACAGUUAUUUAACAAAAUAAAUUGUCACGAUUGCUCUAUAUGUGACAGGAAUAACAUGUCGUCAUAUGAUAAACAAUGACAAUUUUUUAAAAAAAAAACUGUCACGAUUGCAUUAUAUUUGACUGGAAAAAAAUGUCGUCAAUGGCAAAACAAUGACAUUUAAUGUUAUCGAAAAACUGUCACGAUUGCACAAUCGUUGACUGGAAAAAAAUGUCGUCAAUAACUAAACAAUGACAUUUUUACAAAAAAAAACUGUCGCGAAAAACAUAUUCAUGACAAUUAAUACAUGUCACGAUAAUAGAAUUCGUGACAAUUAUUUAACUGUCGUUAAUAAAGAAAUGAUGAUAGUUAUUGAAUGUCAUAAAAUAAAUUAUGACAGUUAUUGAAUGUCGUUGAAUGUUGAUUAACAACAUUUAUUUCAUGUCAUAAAACAACCUAUUGCGACAGUUUUCAAAAACUGUCGUCGAAGGCCUUUCCAUGACUCCCGCUUCUAUGACUGAAAAUAACUGUCGCGAAAUCCGUUCGCGACAGUAAAUAACUGUCGUCGUAGCCCACUUUUGUACUAGUGAUUUGCUCCAUGGCAGCAAGGUAUGCAUGAGUGACAGGUGCAGUAGGGUCGAUAACUUGUACAACAUGCUGUCCUUAAGGCUGGUUACGUCUAAAAAUUAUUUAAAUUCAAAAACUGUAACACCUAAAAAUUAAGGUAAUUUUAUUUUUUUAAUUAUCUUAGUUUAAUUUAAUUUAUGAUGGAUUUAAUUGGGUGUUAUAAUUUUUUUAGUAUUGUGGAAAUUGUGAUUAAUUGAAUGUUCAGUGGAAGAUUAUUUAAUUAAUUAUACUAUUGAAAAUUUUGGUGAGAUUUAAGUUUAUUGGUUAAUUAUAUAUGUAUAUAAUUAAUUAAGUUAUGGAAGGGUAGAAUAAUAUAUUAUUGAUUUUUUUUAGGAAAAAUAUUUUUUAGAGAGAAAAUAAUUAUAUUGUGGAAAAUCUAAUUAUUUGGAAAGAUAUUGUAUUUUUGGGGAAAGUAAAAAGUUUGGUUUGAUGGGUAUUUAACGAGGAGAGAAAGUAUGAUUUGAUUUUGGUUAAUUUGUUAAUUAGCAAAAGAAAAGGAAUAAUGAUAAUAAUAAUAAAUAUCAUUAUUAUUAUUAUAUAUAAUUAACCCUUGUGAAACGUGCAAAAAAGGGAACUAUUCAUCAUCUUCUUAAUUCUUCACAAACCCCAGCCGCCAUCGUGCUCCGUUGCAAGGAUCACCGCUCGUCGUUUGUUGACACCGUCAUUCCUCCUUUGUUCCUUAGUGACGAAGUCGCACAAGCCGACUAUGCACCCCCCACCUCCUACGUUUGCAUGUAGGUGAAGCCGAGGAAUCUCUCUCUUUUCAUUUCAUCAAUCAUCUAGUUUUUGAACGUUUUCAUUAAGCCUUACCGUCGUUAAGUUUUGUCUCGUGCCACCCAGAUCUCAUUGCCGGCAAUCGUUAAACGAACCCUUGCUUGAGCAAGUCGAUCUGUGUAUCACAGAGCCACUUAUCUACUCCUUCGUAAAUCGCGCUUGUCACAGCCGAUUUCUUUCUCCUUUUGUGAGUUGUGCACCCGAGCUGACUGCCAAGUCGAUUCUCCUCCUGCAGAGCCGCGUGGGCCAUUUCUACCUUAGUUUAAGCCAAGUUGCUUUUUGGUAUCUCUUGAGUUGUGUUGGUUUGGUAUGCCCAAAUGAAUAUUUUUUGGAUCUUAAAUAAGUUUACCAUGGAAUGAGUUAAAUUAUUUUUGUUUGAAGGUUCAAGUGUUAAUUUGAGGAUUUGAGACUCCGAAAUUUUCCAUUCAAGGUUUUGUUUGAUUCAACCUUAAUCUUGGGGGUCAGUUUGGAUGCUUAAUUAAAUAGUUGGAAGUUUGGAUGCUUAAUUAAAUAGUUGGGUGAUGGUUGACAAAAUUAAUAAUUUUAAUUUUGUUUAUGUUUAUGACUGAAUUAGUUGAUAAUUAAUCUCCAGGUAAGAAGUUUUAUUAUUAGAUCCUUACAUUAUGUUUUCUCUUAGUAUGCAUUAACGUAGCCAUGAUGCAUGUGAUGUGACUGUGAAGAAUGUUAGAUAAUGAUAGCUACAUAAAAAAUCGUUAUGUAUGACUAAGAUAUGUGAUGACCACGAUAUGUUAUGAAUGAGAUAUACUAUGGUUGAGAUACAUCAUGUUUGAGAUAUGUUAUUUAUGUUAUGUUAUAUGUAUAGACUAUGAUGUUGUGUUAGCUUUACCUAUUAGAGUCGUAUCAUAUGGGUGUCCCUCGAGAUCACCACCUAUUUAUGUUUGUGUGACUUAGCUUUUAUAUGCGAAUCAAUAGGAUCACUUACACUUCUUUAGGGUGACUCCUUCGAGUUCACCAAGAGUCUAGAUGUGUUCCUACAAGAUCACUGGAUAGCGUACGUUUGGGAGCACAAUAGAUAUUCGAUAUUUUCUUACAGGACUAUAACGAGAGGUUAACAGACACGUGGCAGGAGUAGUAGUGGGUCACUUACUUAGUAUAAAUUUAUACUCACCCUUUUCUAUGUUUAAUUUUUCAGGUAAAGGAGCAGGUAAAGGCAAGCUCGCGAAUGGCAAGAAGUGACCGUGGAUCGUCAUAGGGAACAUCUUAUGUUUUCUUCCACAUUUAUGUUUUGAGUAUUAAAUUUAUUUCAGAACCCAUGUUUACUUUUAGAUAUAUUUUUUUUAUUUUAAAUAGGUUCCGAACUAAUAUUUUAUUAUAUACUUUACUUAUAUUUUAUGAGUGUUUCUUUUUAAAACUUAGUAUUUUCUUUGAUUUAAAUAAAAAGUCUUUAUUUGUUUUAGUGGUAAUGAUCUCACCUUAGUAUAAAGUGUUGGAUCGUUACAGAAAGGUAUUUUAGAAACACUUUUCGAGGAGCAUUGUUCAAUCUGCAUACCCCCAAAACGAGCAAGGCAAUUGAGCAUGACUCAUUAUUAAACGAACCAUGUCUAACAAGGUUUUAUUUCUCAUUUCUAAUAUACCAUUUUGUUGAGGUGUACCAGGUGCUGAAAGUUGUAAUUGGAUUCCAUGUUCUAUCAUAUAGUCCUGGAAUCUCAAAUCCAUAUACUCUCCACCUCGAUCAGAUAAAAGUAUUUUAAUUUUUUUACUUGAUAGAUUUUUAACUUCAGCCUUAUACUUCUUGAACUUUCCAAGAGCUUCAGACUUACGUUUCAUUAAGUAUAAAUAAUCAUACCUUGAAUAAUCAUCUAUAAAAGAGAUGAAGUAUUCAAAACCUUCUCUAGCUUUUACAUUCAUUGGACCAUAGUGGUCUGAAUGUAUAAGUUCUAUGGGCUCUUUGGCUCCAUAGCAUUUUCUAGUAAAAGGUCUCUUUAGUCAACUUUUCUUCAAGACAAGAUUCACAUGGAGGCAAUGAAUCAUCUUCUAACUCAUUUAGAAGUCCAUUCUUUACCAAUCUCCCGAUCCUAUCGAGAUCAAUAUGACCUAAUCUUGAAUGCCAAAGAUAGGUAUUAUUUUGAGUAUUAGCAGUUUUAAACAUCUCAUGAUUUAAAAUUGCUUUCGCUUUGUUAGGUCUUAAUACAUACAAAAGUUGUCUUCAAGCUUAGCUGAACAAAUGUGUACACCAUUCUUAGAAAUGAACACUUCAUUUAAAGAAAAAUGUUACAUUAUAUGAUUGUUCAAUAAGACAAGAAAUAAAUAUAAGAUUCCUUUUAAUCUUAGGAACUAUAUACAAGUUUUUUAAAAACAAGAAUCUAUUUUAAAAAGAAAAUUUAACAUCUCCCAUUACACGAGCUGAAAUGGCAUCUCUCGUUUUAACUUCGAGUGUAUCUCAUCCUCCUCGAGUAGCUUAAAGGAACUAGUUUUAUGUAAAGAAGAGCAAACAUGACUAGUGGCUCCUAAAUCAAGUAUCUAGACAUUUUGGUCAUUUUCCACUAAACAUGUUUCUAAGGCAAGUAAAUUAUAUUUACUUUCUUUUUAAUUCUUCUUAAAUAUCUCUUGAAGCGAAUCCUUGAUCUGACGUCUAAUGACCAUGGUUUUGUGUUUCUUGCUUAGUAUGUCAGACAUACUAGACAAGAGAUACACACAGGCCUUGUCAUUGGCCUUUGUCCAAUGAUUAUAUGCAUCCCUAAAAUUUUUAGAUGCAUUUCGAGCAGAGGAAGUAGCAAAAUGGUGUAGUUGAAAGGAAAAAUCGUACUUUGCAAGAAUUUGCUAGAUCAAUGUUGAAUGAGUAUGGUUUACCUAAAUAUUUUUGGACGGAAGCCGUUCACACCGCUUGCUAUGUUUCAAAUAGAGUUUUAGUUAGACCCUCUUUAGAUAAAACUCCUUAUGAACUUUGGCAUGGUAAAAUUCCAAAUAUUGGGUAUUUCAAAGUUUUCGGUUGUAAAUGUUUUAUUUUGAAUAACAAAGAAAAACUUGGAAAAUUUGAUUCUAAGACGGAUGUUGGUAUUUUUCUAGGAUAUUCCUCUACUAGUAAAGCUUAUAGAGUUUUCAAUAAGAAAACUUUAGUUAUUGAGGAAUCUAUUCAUGUUGUAUUUGAUGAAUCUUGGAAUAAUGUUUCUAAUGAGUCUAUUUGUAGUGAUGAUUUAGAAAAAGAUUUUGGAGAUUUACUUGUUAAUGACAAAGGCAAAGAAAUUGUUCCAAGUAUGCAAGAUGUGAACAUCAUAGAAAAGAAAGAAGAGGGUUCUUCAUCCUUGCCUAAAGAGUGGAGAUAUGCUCUAUCCCAUCCCAAGGAUCUAAUUCUUGGCAAUCCCGAACAAGGUGUCAAAACUCGUUCUUCUAUUAAUUUAUUUAGUAAUCUUGCUUUUGUGUCUCAAAUUGAACCUAGAAGUUUUAAAGAUGCCGAAUGUGAUGAGUUUUGGAUUUUAGCUAUGCAAGAAGAAUUAAAUCAAUUUGAAAGAAACAAAGUUUGGAAAUUAGUCCCUAGGCCUUCUAAUGCAUCUACAAUCGGAACAAAAUGGGUUUUUAGAAAUAAGAUAACGAAAGCAAAGUGCUUUCAAGAGCUAUGGUUAUCUGCUUUUUUGGAAGGUGAUGAUAUCACAUUAGAGGCAAUUCUCUGACGGUGAAGAACAAUGAAUAUGAUGAAAAUUAACAUAUUUACCUGUUCAGCAUCCAAAUGAACCUCCCCGCCAAAGGACACAGAAGCUUUAACCAUCUUUGAGAGUAAAUAAAGUUCAAGUUCAAAAUUGCUCACAUCAUCAUGAAGUUUUGAUUCUAUCAGAAGCACAAAUCCAGAAUAAACCUCAUAUAUAACACUACAGGAGAAGUCAAAUUUAUAAGCCUGAAGAGUGGUCCCUUCAACUUGUUCUUCCCAAGUUCCAGAUAAAGCUCUGAUCGCAGUUCUGCCGUGCAGUUCCUUUCUUUUUGUUGAUCCUUUAAGACCCGAAAAAGUGCCAUCAAAUUAUACAUUAAAAGCAUUAAAAGGAGAUUGGAAACAGGGCAUCUAGUCAAUGACCAAGUAGAAGAAACACAUACAGAAAUAUCCCUUCAACGCCUGGCCAGUUACCAGUCAAAUUCACAGAAAAUACCAGGCAAUAGGAACGUAUACAAGUUUGAUUCUUCUCUUUUGUGAAAAAUAAGAACUUUCAUCAACAAAAAGAGAGAUACAUGAGGGUUGCAUAAAGUUGAAUCACACAAAAACCAAAGAAAUUAAAUAGGAAUAUAGGUAAAUAGACAAUUCAAGAGGUCUAUAACGAUGAAUAUAAAUACAAACGAGCUGAUUAUUGUUUGGGCAUCAUAGCUACAAAGGACACAGUUCAGUGUCACUUCUUACAUAUCUUUAAAGAAAAAAAUGGUCAUAGGAUAAAGAAACUUUUUAUAGCACAUAUUUGUACCAUUAUAUUUGGAUGUACCCAAUGGAGAGAUGACACUUUUUAAGGUUUCAAACAAGUAGGAUUUUUCUAACAAGAAACCAUUUUACCCAGAGUAGAAAAUGUUGUACAGAUUUUAUUUAUCAAUGAAAUGUUUCUUAUCUUAAAAAAAAAAAAAGUUAAACGGCCCCUCUGGACAAGUUAUACCCUUUUCCAUUUAUCGAGUUUCAAAUGGACUUUAUCUAUAACAGGCUGCCAAAAAGACUGCUGUUUAGAAUAACCACCAUGAGGUAAGCCAAGAUAUAUAAAGGCAAUUACCAGCCUCCCAAUUCAGCCUUGAAGAAGUAGAGAUCAAUGUAGCCUCAUCAAUAUUGCCUCCAUAUAAUGCUUACUUCUCCCAAUUAACUUGCUGCCCUGAGCACAAUUCGAAGAGAAUAUCUAACAUGGCUUCUAUUUUUUAUUCUAAAAUCUUUCAAUCCUGCAAUCAUAGACGAUACCUUUCUUUUUGUAAAUAAGGAUAAGUAGGACGUGGGGAGUUUGAAAGGGUUGCUUGUAGAAGAGUUAGAUGAACCCCCCCCCCCCCCCCCCUCCCCCGAGUGGUUCCAUGAUUGUAAACAUCUCUCAACUUUCACAAUCAUAGGAGUUCAAAAGGAUAACAUACGAGGCUUGUACUUUUUGCGAGAUUGUGGAGUGCAUAAUGAAUCUAAAGAAUAUUUAAGGUAACAGAUAGCCUCCUAACAAUGAAAUGCAUUGAAAGAAAAUGUUGCACUAAGAAAAAUAAAUAACGAAUUCUGCUCAAUAUAAUAAAAAUCAAACAAAUCAACAUAAUGGACUUACUGUAUUGCCUUUCUCUAUGUACCAAUGAAGCCUAUCAACAAUCUGCAUUGCAGAAGACAUUUUAGUAUUUACAAGGACUAUGAAAUGGAAAAAAUAAUGAGAGCGAGAAAAAAUUAAACAGGAAAAAUAAUGGAGAAAACACGUCCAUAUGUCUGGACAGCAAAAAAGACCGGCUGCUAACAAUUUCCUUCUGCUAUCACACAUUGAUGUUUUAUAAGAGACAUCAUCAGACAAAAGCGAAGUAGAAACAGCUUAGGGACGGUGAAAAGUGAACCCCAUCCCAAAAAAACUAAUUGCAGAAAAUUUGACCAAUUGUUGUGAUGCAAAGAAAUUGGAUAAUUGCAAAAGAAUUGGCUAUAACUAUGAGCCCACCACAAGGAGAUGAGUUGUAAAUUUCCACCAAAAGAAGUUAUAUCAGAAGACUUAGCUUCAAAAAGUUUAAAGUUACUUUCAAGCCAACGCAACUAAAGGAAUGCCCCGACAGCAUACCCCAAAGGACUUCAACUUCACUUGAGAAAGCCAGUCAUCAAUAUGAUUAGAAUUAGAAAGACAAGCGGAAAUCUGAAGGUACUAAGCAGAAAGCUUCUUCCCUUGGAAGCAAAGAAGCAAUGAGGAAAAAGGUGAUAAAUAUUGUCCUCCUUUUCCAUAUACAAACUGCAUAUGAACAGGCAAAAAGGUUAAACCUCAUCAAAUUCUGAAGCCUAUCCUGAUUAUUAAGACUCUUAUAAUCUCAGGACCAUAUAAACACUUCCAUGUUCUUUGCGAUCUGAAAAUUCAAUACACUUUUAAUAAGUCAGGACAUCAAAGAAGUAUUCACUUUAAAAAUAUUCAUAAAUGCCUCCUCCCACUUUGUGAAGAGGGAUAAUGUGAAGAAACUAAUUUUGCAAGGGGGUUCGGGUGAUACCCAGUACAGAAGAGAAGUCCAAUUGUAAAAAAAACCAUUUCAUUUAUAAAUGAAAUCUGGGGAAAACCCCAAACACCUAAAGGAACUUAUAGAAGAGAAGGAUGUCCAAUUGUUAACUAAAAUAGAUUAUCUAUAGAGAGAGGGGGGCUUAGCUUUACACCAAGGAAAAGAAAUAGACAGAACAAAUUCCAUAAAAUAUUUGAACAAGAAGAAUCAUGAAAAAGCCACUUAUUCCUUUCACCCCACAGAUACCAAAAGAACGCCGCAUGUCAACCAAAGUGUCAUCUUUGUACCACCAAAGGGUUGACCCACCAGAAGAGAAGCCAAUGUGUCCAAAAUGUUAUUAAGACACGUAUAAGACCAUCAAAAAGCCUAAAAAGAAUAUCCCAAAAAUUGGCAGCAAGAGGAAAAUGGAAAAACAAAUGGAUCGAAGAUUCAGCGUAGCAGCAACACAUGUGACACCAAGAAGGAGAAAUAGACAUAUAAAGCAUGCAACGUGGAAGACAAUCAGCAGUAUUGAUGGCACCCCAACUAAGAUCUUAAAGAAAAAUUUUCAUCGUUUUAGGAAAAUCUAUCUUUCCAAAUCACAGAACAAAAAUCAGACAAUAAUGGAUCAACCGUGCCCACUAAGUCAGCUAUAAGGGAUCUAACAGUAAAACCAGAAGUAGGAUCAAGAGGCCACAACCAAGAAUCCAAAUAGCAGUGCAAGCUAACAGCAGCCAGGUGGAGAGAUACUAAGGCCCUUUUGACCAAGUGGAUUCAAAGAUAUUACAAGCAAAAGUUCUCUGUUGGGUGGAAGGUGCUCACAGCUUAUUAUAGCUCCUCACAUUUCCAACCAAAAGCCUAUUCUCAGUGUCAAGUCUUCCUCAUAUAUCCCACGGAAAAGGAUUAUAAGCUACUGCCUAUUGUCAUCUUCCUUUUUCCCAUAUUUCUUUCAAGAUUGGAAUGGGUCAAUACUUUGUUUUCAAUCCACUUGGAGAUCAAAAGGAACUGGAUGGAUCUUUCUUGAAGCUCAUGGAAAAUCAGGAAGAAUGUUAACCAAGUGAGAUGAAAGUAAAUUUUCUUUUAUUGAAGUAUUGAAAGGGGCCACUCACUGUCAGUUAAAUGCAGAACAAUGUGCAAUAAGUUGUGUUGGGUAACCAAUAUUUAUGGACCUACUGAUUACAGAGGGAAAAUUCAUUUGGUCAGAGCUGCUCUCCCUCAUUGGUUAUUGUAUAGAAGCUUGGUGUUUGGGAGGGGAUUUUAAUAUGACCAAAUCAAAGGGGAGCGAUUUCCAGCAAGUAGAAUGACUUGUGGCAUGAAUGAGGAAAUUCAAUAAAUUCAUUGAAGAAUGGAAACUCAUUGAAGUUAUUUUACUGAACAGAAAAUUAACAUGGUCAAGAGAAGGAAGAGUAGUUUUGAGAUCAUUGCUUGACAGAUUUUUAGUUACUUUUGACCGGGACAAGGCUUUUGCGAACACACGUGUAACUCGUCAAGUAAGGAUCUCCUUAAACCACUUCCCUUUUUUAUUAGAAGCAGGGGCAUUCGAGUGGGAGCCUUCCCCUUUUCGAUUUUGCAACAGCUGGUUGCUAGACAAGCAUUGCUGCCAAUUUAUUGAAAAUUCAUUAACCACAAGCACUCCUCCGGGCUGGAUGGGCUUUGCCUUAUCAACUCAACUCCAAAACAUUAAGGGUCAACUCAAAUCAUGGCAUUCAGAUUAUGAAAGAAAACAGAAAAGUCAUGAAGAAACCUUAUUAAAAGCCAUCGCACUAGAAGAGAAAAAAUAUGAUCAACCGGAUACGUGCACAGGGGAUCACUUAUUGUUAAUAAGAGAGUGGAUCUUCUAGCUCUUUGUAGAAGGGAGGAAAGAGAUAUAAUCCAGAAAACUAAGUUGACUUGGCUGAAAUUGGGGAACAAAAAUAUGAGUUUCUUCCAUCGUUCUCAUCGGGGGAAAAAAAAAAAAAAAAAGAAGUCUAAUUCCGAAGCUUGUUAAUAAUCAAGGAAACCCAACCACUUUAUUCUUUGAAAUUGAACAUUUAAUACUUGAUUUCUACAGCACCCUCUAUGAGAAAUCUCCUCACACCUCCGUUUUUUAUUGGUUUGUAGUUUCGCAGAUCAAAAUAAAAGGCUUAUUUCAAAAUUUAGUUUGGUGGAGAUCAGGGCAGCAUUAAAAUCAAUGGGAAGAAACAGAGGCUCCAGGUCCGGAUAGCUUCACAGUAGAAUUCUUCAUCAAAUUUUGGGAUCUCCUCAAGGACAAUCUUUGUAAAUUAUUCAAUGAGUUCUAUGGGACUGGGAAACUAAAUGCAUGUAAAGGAGAAAUUUAUUUGCUUGAUCAAGAAAAAGGAAGAUGCAGUAAAGGUAAUUAAUUUCCGGCCCAUAAGUUUCACUACUUUGCUGUACAAAUUGAUUGCAAAAGUGCUUGCUGAAAGAAUGAAGAUAAUUAUGCCCAGUAUUAGAGCUCUCACUCAAAGUGCCUUUUUGGAUGGCCGCCAAAUUCUGGAUCCUGUACUUAUUGCAAAUAAAGUUGUGGAGUAUUAUAGGUCCAAAAAAAGCAAGGAUGGAUUACAAACUGGACCUUGGAGAGGCAUUUGAUCGAGUUGAUUGGGGUUUCUUGGAAAGAAUUUUGAAGCAGAAAAAUUUCAAUCAUUGAUGGAUCAUCUCUUCGAUCAUGGAUUGUGUUGUUUUUUUUUUAAGAGACACAAGGCAAACUCUAUUAUAGAAAUAAUAUAAAAACUGAAAUAAUAUACCCCCAAACACCUCUGUUUCAAUUUAGGCAUUAACAGUUCUAAUUAUGCACUAUUUUAAGGCUGUUGAAGAAGAAAUAUGUAAGUUUCAAAUUAGAACUUGCUCAGGUACCAACAAGCUACAAAAUCUUUUGGCAUGUCACUUGUUUAAGUCAGAAAAGUAAAAAUCCUCCAUCUCAUGAACUCCCCCAAAUCAAAAGUCAAGUCUCCCAACAACAGUAGCUUACGCUUCAUAGCUCAUUGCAAGACAAACAACUGAAAUGAGUUUCUAAAACCCAUUCUCUUUUUCUAUUACUGCAUUCCACACCUGUCCGACCACGGUGCUGCCAUGAUUGAUCCAAAUUUUCCCAAGUAACUGAAUGCCUUUGCAUUGCAAUUACUCAUCCCCCCAUGUUGAUAUUCCGUCCAUUCCAAUUUCAACUAUUGGGGAUAUUUGUAACCUUCCAACUCGAUCUUGGCUUUUAGAUUCCUUUCUAUUAGCUGAAAAUGAUGCCAAGUUAGGCUUUAAAAUCAUCUCCUCUACUUCUUUCUCACCAACCUUUUGGAGAACAGCAUCCAUGUCUUCAAUAAGAUCAUCUCCGAAAAGCUGUUCAAAUGGCACUUCAGCGUCGUCAAUAACACCAAUCUGCCUUUCCCCUUCCUUCUUUGCUUUCUUCUUAUGGUUUUCAAUCUUGGUAAGUGUCUCCUUGUGUAUUGGCAAAGAUGGCUCCUUAUUGCUUUUUGUUCUUUUCUGCUUUGAAGUCUUCUUUUCCUUAUCAAUAUCAUUGGUACCGAGAUUUAUCUUAUUGUCAAGAGAUGGAAUUACUUUCUCCUCCCUGGUGACCUUAUCCAUCUUACGUUUUUUGCGUUCCAACUUCCUGUCCACAUCAGCACCAUUAGUAUGAUCAAGUUUGCCAUCAGUGCCUUGAACAGACGGGUGUGUUUCAACAUUCCCAUUCAGUUUUCUAUCCUUUUUCUCUUUUUGACGAUCUAGGCUCCUGAUUGGAGUGUCGUCUUCUUUAUCACUCCCAUUAUCAUUCUCAUUCUUAAUGCAUUUAUCAAUUGAUCUCGCAUUCAAUACACGCAAGCCUGGAACCAGUCGACAAAUCUUUUUAUCCAAUAGGAUUCCCUCGAACAUAAAUAUUCCUCAGAUAGCCUAAUGAACUCAAUACCUUUAAAUCUGACCAUCUCAUGAUGACAUUAUUUCCCAAAUCCAAAUUCAACAACUUCUUGUUAUGAGCCAAAGCAUUGGGGAGCAUCCUGAUUUCAUUGUGAGCAAGUCUAAGCUCUUUAAGUUCGAUACAAAACUUGAGGGAUUCAAUAGAUUGAUGUUUGCAGUUAGAAAGGGAUAGCUUUUUCAUUGAUUUCACUUUCAACAGAGAAUCUCCAAUACUGUGGAUUGGAUUUCUAGAAAGAACCAGAGUAUUCAGGUUCUUCAUCUGAUCAAGCUUGCAAAUAGAAGCAAUCUCAUUGUCAUUCAAAAUCAAAGCACAAAAGCCAACAAGGGGUCUAAUUUCGUCCAUUGACCGAAGCUUAUUCUUUCCCGCAUUUAAUACAUUAAGUCUAGAAAGCCCUUCAAUUCCUUUUAAGUUAUCAAGUUUGUUUUGUACAACUGAGAGCCACUUCAAAUUGGUGCAUGACUCCAACCCCUGAAGCGAUGUGAGAUUGUUGAAUGUCAAAUCAAGCUUCUCCAAGUUUUUGAAAAGGGACAAACCAUUUAUAUCAGAAAGAGCCUUUUGAUUGAGCUUGAGAGUAGUGAUGGUGAGUGGGUCUUUGGUUUUGUAAUCAUUGAGAACUUGCUGUAUAUCCAAGCAAGACAUAGUCGUGAAAACCCUAGUUUUCUCUGUUAGGAACAGACACUGCCUCCGAAAACGCCUUCAAACUCCGCUGUCUCUGCUGCUUGUGUGCUGGAUUGAUCAUGGAUUGUGUUAAAAACCCUAAGUAUUCAGAAUUCGUCAAUGGGAGGCCCAGAGGAAGAAUUCAAGCCUCAAGAGGGUUAAAGCAAGGGGAUCCCCUUUCCCUCUUUCUUUUCUUCUGGUUAGCGAAGUGCUUAGUAGUUUCAUCUCAAAUCUACACUUGAACGGUUUGUAUGAAGGUUUCAUGGUAGGAAAGAACAAUGUUCAUGUUCCCCUCCUUCAAUUUGCAGACAACACCUUAAUAUUUUCCAAGUUUGAUGAAGUUAUUCAUGAAAACGUUAAAAAGACGCUUGAAAUAUUUUAGUGUUAUGGGCAAAAGAUAAAUUGGGAAAAGUCAUCUAUAUGCGGAAUUAAUAUUGGGGAAAGUAAGAUCUCCUUAGCGGCAUCCAUGAGGAAUUGCUAAACAUUCCUCAUGCCAAAAAAAUCUCUAAUUCCAUUGAAAGAACCAUGGAGGAACUUCUUUUGAGAAGGGAACAACGGUAGCAAGUUGAACCACCUAGUGAAAUGGGAAUUAGUUUCCAAACCCCAAGGAGAUGGGGGCCUUGGGCUGGACAAGCUGAAAUUUAGAAACAUUACUCUUCUUGCCAAGUGGAGGUGGAGGUUCAUGGCAGAACAAAACUCUCUAUGGUAUAAGGUGGUUUGUAGUAUUCACGGGAGUAGCCUCUUCCAGUGGCACACAAGUGGCAAAGAAAAUUCAAGUUUAAGAAGCCCUUGGAUAAAUAUUUCUAGAUAGUGUGGCAGCUUUUAAAGUUGGAAAGGGUGACAAAAUUUUGUUUUGGUUGGAUCCAUGAAUGGAUAGAAUUGCUUUGAAGACCACACUCCCAAGCUGUACAGAAUUGCCCUUAAACCAAAAGGCUCGGUUGUAGAACAUUGGAACGCCUCCACUUCCUCUGGGUUUCUUGAUUUCAGAAGAUUGUUAGGAGCUUGAAAUCUCUAAUUUUCAACUUCUCCUGGGCUCCUUGGAAAGGACAAGAUUAUCCAAUAUUGAGAAUAAAAGAAUCUGGUUAAUGGAAACUAAUGGGGUUUUUUCAGUAAAGUCAUUAUCGAAGCACUUGUCUCUUGCCACUCCGAUGGACCUACAGUUGGAAAAAAGCCUUCAGAAAUCUAAAAGCCCGAGGGUAAGUAUAACUCUAUCGAUUAUGUUGUUCAGGAGUUCAAUUUGUGCAUCCAUUAUGCAAAAGAAGUUACCCACUCAUUAUAUUUCGCCACAUAUAUGCCCAUUCUAUCUCAAAUUUCAUGCGGAACUCCAGCACUUGUUUGAAUGUGUAUAUGCUGCCAAGUGUAGGAGUAAACUCUUUCACACCUUUAAUCUCAGCUGAGACCUUGAUAAAGAAUGCAAGAAUAAUGUUAGACAGUUACUUCUUGGUCCGGUUAUGAUGAAAAAAUGCCUCCUUGCUUUGGUGCAAUACCGUCAAGGAAAUUUUGUUGGAACUGUGGUUUGAGAGAAAUCUGCGAGUCUUCCACAAUAAAGCCUCCUCUUGGUUCAAUAGAUACGAGUGCGCACGUCUGAGUGCCUCUUUGUGAUGCUCUCUACGAAAACAAUUUAAAGACUUCUCUAUGCAAUAUAUCUUACUAAACUGGCAGGCCUUUUAACUUUCCUCCUUGUUGAUGAUUCAGAUUUGGCUCACAGCCUCUGGUGUUUCCAACCGUUUCAGAAUCUUUCUUUGUCUGGCUGUAUUUUUAAUUCCUAGUCUGGUUAGAAGUUGUUUCUUAUGUCCUUUUUGAGUUGUAUUGGUUGUGGUUAGUCCUGCACUUGGACGUUAUUAGUUGUUCUAUCUUUUUAUUAUGUAGGAUAUGAUAAGGAUACUAAGAGGGUGUCAACUUAGCUGGGAUGCUCAAAUGCACAUCCUUAUCCUUGGUUUGAAUGCUCAUCGUAUAAUCCUCUUAUACUAUAAGAUUUAGUUUCAUUGUUCAUUUAUUAAUAAAUGAGGUUGUUUCCUUUUCAAAAAAAAUCUAAAGGAUCAACUUGUUUUUCAAUCUAAAAAAGAAAAAUCAAAGCUCACACAAGUGAAUCCAAUUAAAGAAGGAAACUCCAGUCAAAUAAAUUACAACCUAGAGGACAGAUGAAGAAGAAACUCCUCAAUCAUCUCCGUGAUCUCUGUGUCUAAUGUUUUUCAAUGCUCAAGGCAUAAUAAAGCACAAUAGUCUUUUAGGGCUUAAGUGCAAGGCGUUAAAAAAAUGUGGGUUUUUUUUUAAGGUGCAGUCUCUCUAUAUAUAAUACAAGAUAAUAUAAAAAUACAAGAUAAAAAAGAGGAUAGUUGAAUUGGGAAUAUAAAAGAAAAAAAAUAAAAGUAACCAUAGGAAAAAAAAAUAUUCCAUUUAGGCCAAGCAAAUUUUAUUAUUUAUAAUUAAUAUGGAAGGAAAAAACCCUAAUAAUUACUUUUUUAAAAUAAUGAAAAAAAAAACCCAAUGCCUAGGACUUUGGGCCGUAGGGCUUCACUGAAAGCACCACAUCUGAUGCACUUGUGUGCAAGGCGAGGCACUAUGCAUGCGCCUAGGAGGCUUUCUAAAACACAGCAUGUGUCUAGCAAAAGGAAAGUCAAACACCUCAUAGAAACAACUCCAAACUAACCAAACAAAGUCAUGAUUCAAAAAGAUAUGAUUGAAGUCUUUUUUCUGCCCACCAAUACAGAAUGUGAAAAAGCAGCCCUACAAAAAGGAUCAUCUUUCUAAAAACCAAUCUAAUCUGUAAAAGUCUUCCUCUUUUCAGCCUCCUCAUAGUGUUCUUCCUCCUAUGAUCUCGAGUUUGUCUUGGUGCAAGUUUUUGGUCGCCUUUUAUUUAGAAGGAUGUUUAGUCUUGUAUUUGUAUUUGUAUUUCCCUGUACUUCUUUUGUGUUUGUUUUGCCUUUAGCCAUUACUCCUUUGUUACGGGUUUUAGCUUGGUUGGAUAUGAUGAGGGUGUUAAGGGGGUGUCAACCUAGUUGAGAUGUCCAGGUGCACCCCCGAUCCAUGCUUACAUGCUCAUUGUAUAAUUCUUUUGUAUUAUGAGCUUUUGUCUCAUUAUUAUUAUAUUAAUAUUAAUAAAGAGGCUGUCUCCUUUUUAAAAGAAAUAUCUGUAGAAGUCUUCCAUGAUUGACUUACCACAAACAGAAGUGCUAAGUCUUCUAGAAAAAUUUUACAAAAUCUCUAAAAGAGGGAACUACAUUCUUAAAAUUUUCACAAAAGCUCCAAAAGAGGGAACUACAAGAAAUACUUUUAGAAGGAUUCAAGCUCCAAAAGAAAAACAAUCCUUCUCCUUCGUAUUAAUAUCAAAUGUCUUGUUCGAGGAUACAAGAGCCACUAUGUCAGUUGCUUCUCUAUCAAACAACAAAUGACAGAAUCCCAACAAUAUCCUAGAGCUACUAAAACGAGAAAAGGCAUCUGCCACCAAAUGAUUCAGCAUAAGGAAAAAGAUGUAAACAGGAAAAUAGAGAGCAGGGGCCGAAUGUCUAAGAUGAAAGCACAAAAUAGUUCAAAACUUCGAAAACACAAAAUAUUAGUCAGUAUAAGACCAUGCUUUGUCAAAAAUUUCGUCAAAGCAGCUGAGCAAAUAAAAGCCUAAGAAACUUCUUUAGAACAGUGCAAUAAGAAAUUGUAAGCACCUUCCACUUAAAUAUGUGGUUAAGAACUUCAGGCUCACAAACAGCUUCUGCAUCCUCAAUGCAACAUCCUUCCUCAAGCUUGCGCAGAGCAGCUCGAACAACCUAACAACCAAAACAGUAGACCAUUAAGGGAUAAGAAACCACAAGAUCACUUUAAGGAUACAAAAGUUAAUAAUUUUCUUACCACAACUGACCCUUCCAACUUCCCCAUCUUAAUUGUCUUGUCCACUACAUGUUUUAAAGAAUAUGCAUGAGUAGAUGGGACUUUGUGCUUCUUAAUUACGUCUUCCAAAGUAAUUGACGAUGCAACAAUUUUCAUCAUGUCCAUUAACCUAGGUUAAAAGAAAGAAUAUUUUAGAAACAAAUCCACUUUACCAAACAUGCAAGCGUGCACUUUAGGGAAGUUUAUAACUGUUGUCAUUCCUUAAUUCGUUUUUUAAGGGUGAGGGCAUCAAAACCAAAUGUGAAGUACAAAUGGCAGUUACCUCCUCUCCGAAUUGGCAUCUAAUAGGAGCAUCCCACUUCUAUCCUCCUUGUAAAUCUUACUUGGAUCAAAUCUCUUGGUUGGUAUGGCAGACUUGCCAACUAAGGAGGAUUUUUUCACUUUGAUCGUCUUAUCAAUGUCCAUGAGGACAGAUUCUCCUUUUUGAUUCAAAGAGUUUCUUGAAAUGUUACCCAAUUUCACAUUUUUAGACUCAGAACUCCACAAUGAUUUCGCAGUCACUUUACCAAGAAGCUUCCCAUCAGAUGAGGACCUCUCAAAUGAUUUGGAUACUUUUGCAGCAGAUUUUCCCUGAAGGUCAUCUGGCAUAGAUCCCUUCUUUGAUACAACAUUCUCCCUACUCCCACGAAAAACUAUCGUCUUCCCUCGUCUUGUAUCACUGAUAGGAAGUUUCCUUUUCUGAAUGGGAAGCCUACUCUCUUCAAGACCAGGAAAUUUUAUAUGGUCUCUAGCAGGAGUCUCAAUUUCUUCAUCAAUCUCAUGGUCCCUGGUCAAAUUAAAUGAAAAAAAAACAUUAAUAGGCCAAUACUGAUUAAAGGAAAUAGUAGUAACAGCUGACACAGCAAUCUUACAAGCAAUAUAUCAAAAUGCGAUUAGGUAAUAGCUUUUCCCAUGCCCUGGUCGGGGUUUCACCAUCCUCAGAACCUUCAAAAGUGAUUUUCCUAACAAAAACAAUGCAUUCUUUAACCAAUUAAGCACCAGAACUUAAAAAAUUACACUCUGAUUCACUAUAUAGAAAUUCAAAGGAUACCUUGGUAAGCAUUUCCUGUGGUAUGAUUUUGGACACCGUCGACAAACAGCAAACUGUAGUUCCCAUAUUUUCUUAUUUUCGCCGAGCGCACAAACAGAGCACUUAUGCACAGGGCAUGAGAAAGAUUCUCCAGAUGCAAUCUUCUUCUCAAGGUCUCCAGCGGCAACUUUAUUCUCCGGAUGAAGCAAUCUUGAAAUACAUUUAGGAUGAUAAAAAUAACCACAAGUUGCAUUUACGCAUUGGAAGACCUAAAGAGCAAUAGUAACUCAUAUUAGGUAAUAAUCAGAGACUGAUGUCUAAAAUCAUAAGUAAAUCUCUUUUUCUAACAAGAAAAGCAUAUGUAUAUUCAACAAAAAAAGCCAAGAAGGACCAUCUAAGAGGAAAGGGUUGAGGAAACCCCCACCCACAAAACUAAUAAAGAAGAGCCUAGCAAUUAUUAAUACUCAUUAAAAGAUCUAAUUACAAAGGGAGAUAUGAGCUAUUGGCAAAAUUAACAAUGUGUUAGAAAGUUGCUAACAAGAACAAGAUAUUAAUUUAUUAUAAUGAACUAUAAGAAAAUACAAGAUAAACCCAAGUAUAAGGCACUUGGAACCUCCCUCUUGAGUACUCUCACCCAAGCCCUAAAUCACUCCACAUAAUAACCUCUCUCUCUCACUUACCCUCCCUCCAUUUAUAACAAGAUGUAACCACCCUAGUAACCACACAUAAUAGCUACUAGUAACCACACUUACACAAUAACUACUAGUAACUUCCUAAGUAUCUAAUUACCCUUAUACCCCUAACCCUAUACUAAUCUAAUUACCCUUAUACAAUAUAAACCCAUGUAUACAAAUGUAGGUAUCAAACACAAUGCUAAUAAAUAAAUUACAUUAAAACUACAAAGAUUCCAAACCUACAAACAAGAAACUAGCAAAAAAAGUCAAACAACUCAAACCCAAUCAAAGGGUCGACAAAAUUAUGAACCAAAAGAUUGUGAAAAAACUCUAGUGUAAAUGUAAAGAUGGAAAGGUAUUAGGGUUCACCUAAGUUCAUUAUGAUUAUAAUAAACAAAAACAAAUUAAUAAAACAAAAAAAAAAGGAGCCAAUGUCUAUAUUGCGCAGGAUUCAUAUAGUAAAUAUUCAUACAAUACGUGAAGGAUAGCCAUUUUAGUAGUGAAGUGUAUGGUCAAUCGAUUUUAUACCUACAAUGAGUUAUUUUUAGAGGAGUUUCAUUGAAUCUUUAACAACUUUCCAAAUAUAAGCAGAGUACAAAUAAACUUGACUUUGUAUUACUCUCUUUGUAUAACUCUCUUGUACUUUGAGUGCAUAUUAAUAAAAAAGAUUUGUCUCCGUUUCAAAAUAAAUAAAUAAACUUGACUUUGAGGGUGAGUAUUUUUUGUUUAUAUGAUGAUAAAACCAAUUUCAAUGAGGAAAAAAAAAAGAGAGAAUAGGAGGCUAACCAAAAGCCAGCCCACUAAAAGGAAGGGAACCCUCUAGAAAAAGGGACCCAACUAUGCAAAAUAACACCUAUAGAAUAAUUACAAAAUUCCUUCGAAUUCAAGGCCCACAAAGAAACAUGAUAACGUACAAGGGACCAAAUCUCACUGGGGACCCUCUCCCCACCCCUAAAAACCCCAUUGUUCUGCUCACCCCACACCACCCAUAAAAUAGAACACACCCCCAUGACCCAAAGGAAGUGCCCUUCUCACUGGUCAGGGUUGAGAAGGAACUCCUCAAGCAACGCACACACAUCUCUAUGUCAAGUCCCCCUAACGCCAAAUGUCUAAAACAAAGAGUUCCAAACCAAGCUGGAAAACUCACAAUGCCCAGAAUGUGGUCCAGAUCUCCCUCCCUUUUCUACAAAGAAUGCAACAAGAAAGGACCUACAAGCGAGAGCAUCUUCCUCUUAAGCCUAUCCAUCCUGUUUUUUUUCUUUUUACGGUCGUGUAAAACUUGCCAACUAAAGAACUUAACUUUCCUAGGAAUCUCAAUCCUCCACAGCACAAGAAAACAGAUAGACCUAGGGGAGAACCACUUCACCCACGUCUAAACGAGUGGCCCUCAAGUACCUCUAUUGUUUCCCUAUAGGAAAAAGCACAACAGAACCCAAAAGAGAGGGAAUACGAGCUCCUAGACCACACGAGAAUAUCAGCAACAAAACAGUGUUUGUGAUCAAGAAAAUGAUACGAAAGAGGGAAUAAGAAACAGAGAGGUCUCUCCCCCAUCCAAUGGUCUUCCCAAAAGUAAGUAUCUCUCCCCCAUCCAAUGGUCUUCCCAAAAGGAAGUAUCUCUCCCCUUCCCCACCACACAAUGAAUGAAUUGAACAAAAGCAAGGAGAUCUUUCUAGAAAAUCUACGAGAAUUUUUCGAACAAAAGAUAAUUCAGUAUUUGUCCAUACAUGAGGGGAAGACUUCCACUUAUAGAGUUUUAAUACAAGUGGUGGUAAAAAAUGGAAUUAACCUAAGACUAUGACCCAGCUAACCACAUUCUUCUUACAUCACCACUUUCCCCUUCUCCCUCCUGAUUCAAUUGAUGCAAUCAAGCUCUCUUUCAACCCUAACAUCAUUUCCAAUUAAAUCAACUCAGUUGACAUCAAUUUCAUGAGGAUCGAGCUCGUGCCAUUUCUUCGAACUCAAAGAAAAGCCUCAUGGGUUGGCAAACCACCAUCUGAAGUGAUUCUUUAGACUCUAUCACUUUUGAGUUGGUAGCAAAAACAUAUUCAGGGGACUUGAUGUAGAGUGUAGAAUAAUGGGGGCCAAGGCUUCUGCUGAUUAUUCAAGUCAAGAUAUUAGUUUAAACUGGAGUGCUCUCAUCUCCAUGUAAUUGUUGAUGGCAACCGUGGAUAAGAUGGCUCUCUUCCUCUACUACACUUCAUAGUCUUGUUUUGCUAUUUUUGAAUAUUCUUGGCGAUGGAACAAAGAUCAAGAACUUUUCUAUUGAUGUAGUGAGAAGAAACAACAAAUGUUCAAAUGAAACAGAAAAUCUGGAAGUUGAUAAAAGGUAAGUUCUCUUUGUUAUCCCUCCUCCCCCCUCCCUCCUGCUCCCUUUUCGGUUCUCUCUUUUUCCAGUAGCCUCACAACGACUACUUUUCAGUCUAACAACGUUAGCCUCCUGGUGAAUUCUACCCACAGACCAAUCACUAAAGGUCUGGUGGUUGAGUUUCGUUUUAAUUGCACAGGGAAGCUUAGAAGUGAGACUGCAAUGGAAGUGGUAAGUUACGAAGUUCUUCAAUCGUAUUAUCGCAUUUGGUCAGAAGACGAUAGCUUCCUUGUCAAAGAUGUGAGCUGGUGCCUGAAAGCAUUAUCAGUGUUAUUAAGAGGCCCAGCAGAUUGUUUCUUCCAGAAAUGGGGGAGUUAAACCAAGGAAGGUUGAAGUUGUCAAAGUUCAAGGCAAAAAAGGGUUGGGUGUUAUGUUGUGUGACCUAUGGCCAUUUUCAGGUGGACACUCCUUCAUUCGAGUGUGUUAGGGAGAAGACAAACAGCGGUGGGUGGCAUUUCACAAAAUGCUGGAGAAUUUCCUUUUCAAAACCAGAGUAUAUAAGUUGGUAUUCACAUAAAAUUGCCACAUCUUUUAAUCCAGCCCAGGCUAAGAGUACAAGCUUCACAGAUAAAGUUAAAUCGGAUGGUAACUUAACCCAUGAUGAAAAGAAAAAAAAGAGAGUGCCAUUAAAGUUGAUUAUCAGGCUGUGACCAAAGAUGAAGGAGAAAGCUCUCAAGUUUCCUCUAUUUUGAAGAGAGCAAAACAGAGUCAGGGGGUGACAAAUAACUCGGAAGUUAUUCAAACAAAGUUUGAAAAUGAUGUAAGAAGACUAAGAGUUAAUUGGGUAAUUAGGUAAUAUUCUAGAUUAAUUCCCUUUUUAGCCCCAUUUGUAAUAGAAGUCUUCUCCUCUUGUAUGAAGCACAUUAUUCAUUCUAAUAAAAGAUUCUCAAUCUUGGUUCUUGGAGGAUUUCUCCUUGAGAUUACUUAGGCUACAUCAGAAUAGUUGUGGAUAGUUACAAUACUCUUUGCGUUGAUUAUUGGAGAGAAAUUCGAAAACUGCUGGAAAUCUUUUUCCAAACAAGAAUUAUCAUCAACCCACUAUUGGAUGAAAAUGCUCUUAUUAGUUUGGAUCAAGGCCUGGUUGAAGAUUUCAUCAAUGAACCUGAGAGAUGGCAGGAGAUGGGGCCAUUUCACCUAAAGUUCGAAAAAUGGGAUAGAUUAAAAAACAGCCAGCCGUUGGUAAUGAAAGGCUGCAGCAGAUGGUUAAGAAUUGGAAACCUUCCUCUGGACUACUAGUGUAGAAAAACCUUCGAAGCCACCAGAGAGAAUUUUGAGGGUUUAGAAAGCAUUGCCACAGAAACGCUUAAUCUAACCAAUUGCAACGAAGCAAGAAUUCAAGUUAAACCGAAUUUAUGUGGUAUUAUACCUACUACCACUGAAAUUACAGACUUUAAUAGAAGUAAUUUUUUCUUGAAUUUUGAUGAUAUUGAGCCUAUGGAUCCCCCAUGUAUUUUCAAGGGAAGUCUUAUUGUUAAGGAUUUUCAAAAACCCUAUUGAUUAACUAAGGGUUAGGCAAGCUUUGGAAGAUGAAGAUGUUAAUGUUUUGUUCUUCCCUCAAGAACUUGAUGUGUUUAAAUCCACUAAAACAGCUCCCUCCUUUUCAAGAAAUCCAUUAGAAGCUUUGAAUCAAAUUCAUCACCCUCACCGGCGCCGGAGGCCGACAAUCUGAUUGGAAAUGAAAUAUGUCCGUUAGAAAUUAAUAGGCUGUAUCCAAGGAAGAGAGAGAAUUCAGCAGAAGAUAUCUAUGCAUUUAAUUCAUUGGGCUUUGGUCUAACCUCAAAUGGUGGAAAGCUCAAAUGGGGCUACUUUCCAGCCUAGUAUGAACACGAAAAAAGCUUUAACAAGGAAAGAGAAUGUGAAUGGAAAUGAUUCUCUGCAAAGUAAUUGUUCUGCUUCCAUCCGUAAGGGCACGAAAAAGAAAUUUAAAAGAGAGCCUGUUGUAGUUCCUCCGUUAUUCCUCCCAAAAGACAGCUCAGCAGCAUUAACUAAUCACUCAAGAACCCUUCCACCUUCCAGCCGUGUUCUCAUAUCUUCCUCUGCCUUGGAAUCCAACUCUUCCUUGCCUUUUUCCAACCAAUCAAACAGUACAGUGAAUAUAGCAUUCCAAUUGUCCAAGGAUAACUCGAAUAAUGAUCUUCUUCAGUCUCCAUCUCACAAUACGAGUGAGUUCGAAAUACCUCAGAAAUUUCCGGCUAACAUUUGCUUGCAUCAACGAAUGAAGAGAAACAAGAAGUGCAAGAUUCCUAAAAUGUCUCAAGGAAGUUCUUAUUUGGUUAAGCCUUUCCGAAAACACUUGACCAAGAAAAGGACUUCUUUUAGCAAUUCUUGGACAAAAAUCACAAACCCUGACUUGCUUGAGGCUGUUGUGUCAAGAUCCAAGUCCCUGGCCUAAAUCAAAACAGGUCAGCUUCUUUACCUUUUUUGAAUAAACCUGGUUCCCAUUUCGGAUGUAAUUCCCAAGAGUCUUUCAAUCCUCCUUCUGUGCGAGGAUUACAUAGCAAUUUUCAGACUUCUCAUAAAGGUACGAAAGACUUUGAUGAAGAGUCAUUGGCAAGUGUAAGCAGUGAAGAACAGGAAAGAGGACAAUGAGGAGAUAGAAAUUACAAUAAAAUGCCAGUUGAUAUGAACAAGGCUUUAAGUAUUUUAUUCCAAUCUGAAGAGGUUCAAUUACUUUCCAUUAAGAAAAGCUUUCCUUUACUCCACUGUAAAAGAAAAAUACAUACCUAAAAAUUGCAUUCCAUAGUGGAUACCUGUGAAAUCUCUUUAGCCUAAUCCAAAGGAAAACAGGUCAUUCGGUGGAUAUCCUCAGGGUUGAAAAUUGAAGAUUAGCUAUUGAAUUGCAUGAUGAUUUGGACAAAAACAUGGUGGCUGAUUCUUAGAAGUUUUCAAAAGAAAUUAGUCCAGACAUACUACUAAUUCAAGAUUCUAGAAUGGACAGCUUCGUUAAAGAAGUCAUAGAAAGCAUAUAGAGCUCAAAAGAUGUCGGCCAGAUUUUAGUUGGAAGCUUUAAAGAUUUUCAGGGACUUUCUUACAAGGUGGGUUGAAGGUUUUUUCAGAAAACUGACAUUGCUAAAGCUGACUUCUCUUUGAUAACUGGAGUAAUGAGUUGAAGGCAGUGCUGGCAAGUUUAUGUGGAUUGGAAGAAGACUACUUCCAGAUCCUCUGGACUUUGGAUUGUGUUGGCAAGUUAGCUUUGAGGCAGCUGUUUGCAUCUUCUUGGCUUUCAUUUUCUCCUAUCAUCUUGAAGAUUUGGAUGUGCAGUACUUUUUAUACGAGUGGAGUGGGCUAAUUUUGAGAGAGUGUUUAAGUAUUGCUUUUUACUUAGCUUUCUACUGAUGUACUGUAUUGUGUGGCUUUGAUUAGCUCGUUUAUUUUCUGAUUCGGACUCGUAUUUAAGUUUCCAUCAUAUUUAUGUUGCCCGAUUAUAGUCUUUGUUUAUGUUUUAGCUUGUUUUUUCCCUUAGUUCUUUUGGUUUUGGUAUAAUACUCUUGUACUUUGAGCUUUAGUCUCAUUAUCCUUCAUAAAGAGGCUUAUUUUCGUUUCAAAAAAAAAAAAUCUUGGCAAUGAUUGUAAUUUUUAAGUUAUUAAGUUAUUUGCAAGUUUCUUUUCAAGGUGUUGAUGGUACUAAUGGGGUGUCAACCUAGUUGAGAUGCCCGGGUGCACCUCCUGAUCCACAGCUUUAUGCUUGUUGUUUCCAUUGUACUUUGAGCAUAGUCUCAUAUCAUUAUUUUAAUGAAAAAGCUUGUUUCUUGUCAAAAAAGGGUGCUGGUGCUGGUGCUGGUGGUUUCAAAGGGUACAUAAUGGUGUACAAGUUCGAUGCCCUCUCACUGAUGAAGGCAAGGCGAGGGCUUUUUUUCUCAAAGAAGAAAGGAGUGGGGAGUGGGGUGUGGGUUUUUUUUGCUUAUGAAGCAUGAAUACUCCAUGUGAAGCAAAAAAUCGUAUCAAAUACGUAUCAAAUAUCAAUACUCCUAAAUACUUCCCAUAUACAUAUCGGAUAAGUGAUUUGACAUAUUUGCUUUUAAUAAAAAACAAAUAUCAAAUGCACUUCUGAAGUGGACACGUUGGACCUUCUAAAAAGAAGGCAUCUAAUCUUUCCCAAUCCAAACUAGGUAGCAUAUUUAAAAAGCCCAUUGCCCCCACCCAAAACUAAAAGGAAAAAUAUUUAAAAAGACCAAACUAGAAUCAUCUAAUCUUCAUCCAUCCCGCCUAAGUCACACAAAAUAACCCACUUAAAUAUCUUUAACAAUUCAAUGAAGAAGUUUUUCAUUUAUCCUCGUACUUCUCUCUCUAAUCUUCUUCUCCUCUGUCAUUCUAACUCUGGUGCGCCAACCUUUUCUAUUCUAUUCCAUUGCAAUUGUAUUUCAAUAUUUUUUAAGAGAAAUUGUAUUUCAAUACCUUUGAUAGUACUUCUGGUAAAGUAUUUUGUAGUAUUGUCAUCAACUAGACCAGUGUUUUAAAAAGCGCACUAAGCCGCGCGCCUAGGUGCGCCUAGGCUCAAGGCGCCCACUUGGAGCUUAUUUGUGAGGAAGUGCGGAGAAUUCUAAAAAGCCCAGAUUAGGCGCGCGCCUCAAAGGCGCAAGUCGAAUUAGGAGUGGGCUAUUUUUAUAACUUAUGGGCUGGGCUUUAAUUAUAAAAAACUAUUAUUAUCUAAAUUUUUUAAACCUAUUACGUGAAAGUGAAGAAACAACCCUUCACCCUUCUCCUCCCGCGCAUGAAUUUUCUUCAACACGACUCUUCAUCUACUUUUUCGGUUCUUCCGUUCUGCUUCUACUUCAAAACUUUUUGCUUCCUUUUCCACCCUUCUUCUUCACACAAAACGUCAACAAAUCUAUUUGGUGCUGCGGCUGCCAUUACUCUGUUUUUUGGUGCAAAAACAGAGGAAAAGAGAAGACAAUAAUAUUCUGCUUCAGUUUUCACCUCCUCCAUUUCAGCUUUAUCGCGGGUGAGUAUCUCAAUCGUACGUUGUAAACUUUUUGCCUCCUCUUGGAUUAGAUUUAAAUUCACAUCAAGUGAAUCUCUUUGUUCAGUUAACAUCUGCAUUGCUUUCUCCUUCUUCUGUAACUCUUUGACAAGAACAUCAAACUCCAUCAGCAUCCCACUUUCUUUCACCACAGCUUAUUCAAUUCUCAUUUGAAGCUCAGAAAUUCUCUUCCCGUUCUCUUCCUUUUCCUGUUUGAAACAGAAUGUACUCUGUUUUAAUUGAGCAACUUCCUUCUCUAACUUCUCAAAUCUCAACCUCCAUUUCCAGCCCAUUUUUUUCCUUUUCAAUCUCACCUUUCUCCUUCAUUUUCACAUCCACUUUCCUCUCUAAAUCUUCAAUUACCCUGCCUGAUUCCUCCAACAACUUCUUAAUCAAUUCAUUGUCUUUCGUCAGAUUCACAUUCAAAAUCUCACAUUCCUUUUUUUCACUCAACAACUUCUUCCAUUUCGUACAUGCUUUUCAAAGGAUUAUUAGUUUUUAUCCUUUUACUUUCAUUUAACAUAUUGAUUGCUCAGAAUGGUGAAAAGAACAAAUAUGGAUGAACGAACUUGAAAUGUUUUCUAUCUAUUGCAUCUUUUGGCUCUAUUGUCAUUUCCUCUAAUUUGGUUGCUAAGAGAAUGGAAGGUGGAUCCUCUCUUUCAUUUUCGAGAACUAAGUUUCCACCUACAAUUCCAAUGAAACUCGAGAGGAAUGAGAUGAAAUAUAGCAGAGGAUUGAGAUAACUACAAUCAAGUUUUGACCAAAAGUCUAUAUUUCAUGCUAAGCAUAGUGGGCUAUUUUUUUAGAUGUCGAAUUCUGAGUAUCUCUCCUUUGUUGAUUUGACAUCUUGCAUUAAAUUUCAUACUCUACUGUGACACUUUGUUGUGUCACAGAUUCAUUUGGUUCUAGUAUGUUUUGGUCUAAGUUAGCUAUCAAUUUGCUGAUUUGACGGCUACGAACUACAUAUGUCGUUUUGUGUUUUCAUAGCGUGGUAUACCCAUUGAGUGACUAUUGGUUUUGUCUCUUGACUUAUUUAUUGUGUGCAAGUUUUGGACAUCUUCUUCUUCUUAUACUUCUCGACCACAACUUCCUUCAAUAACCCAUCAAACUCAACCUUCAUCCCAUCCCUCUCACAACACACUCCCCUCCAAUCCUCCAUUUAUAACAGCUUCAUCCCAUCCAUAGAUAGCUUCUGUUUUUUUAUCUUUUUAUAACAGCUUCUGUUUUAAAUAGCUUCUGUUUUUUUUUUUUUUUUAUAACUUAGAUCAUAGAUGGCUGAUAAAAGUUCAAGAAAAAAUCCGGCAUGGAAAUAUGGUCAAUUGCAAAAUGACCAAGAUAAAAAUACGUUUGUCUGUGGAUUUUGUUCGAAAGUAACAAAAGGAGGGGUAUAUAGAAUGAAACAACACCUCGCUGGUGGUUACAGAAAUGUCACCGCCUGUACAAAAUGUUCGGAUCACGUGAAGGAAGAAAUUAAAGAGUACAUGUCCAAAAAAAAAGAGAUUAAAGAACAAAGAAAUCUGAUUGUGGACAUUGAUGUAGAAGAUUACGGUAUCGAGGAUGAAGAUGAAGGGAGUGUUAGUGUAAACAACAUAACAACACCAAGGGGCCCGAGCUUGAAGAAGCCAAGGCAAAAGGGUCCAAUGGAUGCAUUUUUUACUCCUAACCCAGAAACUGUGGUUCAAAAUAGAAAGGACAAAGGAAAACAAACUUCAUUGAAUGGGGCAUACAAGAAGGAAAUGAGAGAGCACACCAUCCAAAGAAUUGCUCGAUGGUUUUAUGAUGCAGGAGUGCCUCUGAAUGCCUGCACAUAUGAUAGUUUUGCCCCUAUGAUUGAGUCAAUUGGGCAAUUCGGUCCUAGAUUGAAACCACCAUCUUAUCAUGAGUUAAGAGUUCCAUGUUUGAAAAAGGAAUUAGAAGCAACAAAUGAGUUGAUGAGUAACCAUAUGGCAGAGUGGGCCAAGGUUGGAUGCACUGUUAUGGCUGAUGGAUGGACCGAUAGAAGAAAUAGGACAUUAAUUAACUUUUUAGUUAACAGUCCUAAAGGCACCAUGUUUAUUGAGUCCAUCGAUGCUUCAUCUUAUGUGAAAGAUGGAAAGAAGAUGUUCGAGUUAUUUGAUAAUUUUGUAGACCGAAUUGGAGAAGCGAAUGUUGGACAAGUAGUUACCGAUAGUGCCUCAGCAAAUGUGAUGGCAGGUAAGAAUGUAGACUACUUACAAGUUAUAACUUUAAUUUGUUAGAUUUAGUUGAGUUCUACGUUAAAUGUGUACUUAUUUUCUUUGUUAAUAGGGAGAUUGUUAGAAGCAAAGCGACCACAGUUAAUAUGGUCUCCGUGUACCGCUCAUUGCUUAGAUUUGAUGUUGGAGGAUGUAUACAAGAUCUCGAAUAUUCGAAAAGCAUUGAAAAGAGGCAUGGAGAUUAGCAAUUUCAUAUAUGUUCAUCCUGGAUUGUUAAACAUGAUGCGAUGUUUUACUAACCAAAAGGAGUUAGUUAGACUAGCUAAGACUCGUUUUGCUACUGCCUGCAUUACAUUAUCGAGUAUACAUCGUCAAAAGAAUAAUCUGAGGAAGAUGUUUACUUCAGAUGAAUGGAAGAAUAGCAAAUGGAGUAAGGAGCAACAAGCGAAACGAGUAGUUCAGACUAUUUUGUUGGCUAGUUUUUGGACUACAAUUGUUUUCACUCUUAAAGUAUCUGGCCCACUAGUCCGAGUUCUUAGAUUGGUUGAUGGCGAGAAGAAGCCACCUAGGAUAUAUUUAUGAGGCCAUGGAUAGAGCUAAGGAAGCUAUUGCUAAAUCCUUUAAUAAUAAUGAAGAAAAAUACAAGGACAUUUUCACCAUAAUUGAUAAAAGAUGGGAGCUUCAGUUGCAUCGUCCCCUGCAUGCAGCGGGGUAUUAUUUAAACCUGUCAUUCUAUUAUCUGAAUCCUAAUAUCCAGAAGGAUGAUGAAAUAGUUAAUGGACUCUACUCAUGCAUAACAAAAAUGGUUGCUUCAUUGGAAGUACAAGACAAAAUACUUGCAGAACUAAGCAAGUAUAAGAGAGCUGAAGCAUUAUUCGGACAACCUUUAGCAAUCAGACAAAGGGACAAAAUAUCUCCAGGUAAAUUUCAACUAAACGAUUACUCAACGAUACUAGCAACAAGUUCUUCUAUUAAUAUAUAUUUUUUUGUUUGUGCCUAUAGUGGAAUGGUGGGAUAAUUUUGGACAAUCAACUCCAAGCUUGCAAAAGUUUGAUGUGAGAAUUUUAGGUCUUACUUGUAGCGCUUCUGGAUGCGAGCGUAAUUGGAGUGUGUUUGAACAAGUUACCUUUUCUCUCCUUAAGUACAUUGAGAAUGAGAAUCAAAAUUUGUUGAUUCACUGAUAAUGAAACUUUCUAAUUUUUCAGCUUCAUAGCAAGAAACGAAAUAGGCUUGCUCAAAGUCGUUUGAAUGAUCUAGUGUUCAUCAAAUACAACACAGCAUUAAAACGUCGAUACAACCUACAAGAUAUUGUCGAUCCCAUCUCCUUAAAAGAUAUUGAUGAUAGUAACGAAUGGUUGAUUGGAAGAUUGGAUGACGAUUCUGAGGAGGAUGAUGAGUUGGUAUUUGACGAUGAUUCUUUAACGUGGGGUGAUGUUUCUAGAGCUGUCGGAGCAAAAGAACCAUCAUUCUAUUCUAGAGCUAGUACCUCUAGAGCAAAGACUAAUGUUUCAUGUUCAUCCUCGUCUACCACGCAACGCAAACAAGUAAAUUUAGAUGACUUCGAUUUGGAAGAAGAAGAUACUGAUGGCAAUAAGUCUAACGAAGGAGUGAAUGAAGACGAGGAUCAAUUUAGUGAUGAUGAGUUUGAUCUUUAGGGAUGAACUUUUAUUUUGAUUGUUGACUUGUUGUUGAAUACUGGGUAGUUUUCUGUUGUGUUUUGUUGUUUAGGCUACUUAUAUUGGGUACUUAUAUUUUAUACAUUGUUGCUCUGCUACGAGUGUGUAUAUAUAUAUUUUCUUUUCUUUUUAUAUAUAGUGCGUCUUAUCAAAAAAAGCUCACGCCUUUUUUUGCGCCUUGUGCCUAGGCUCCAGAGGACCAAUGCGCCUUAGUGCGCCUUGAGCCUUUAAAAACACUGAACUUGACACUUCAUGUCUAUUAGUGCAUUACAUUUAGCAUCUUUAUGUUAAAUCUGCAUAUAUUUGAUAUUCUCUUAAUUAAAAUAAUGUAUCUUCAACGUAUCCAUAUCCUAGUUUUUCAAAAAUUGGCAUAUCAUUUGUAUCCUAUUGAAUUAUCCUAUAUUUGUAUUUGUGUUCAUAUUUCCUACAUUUUUUGUUGGAAGAGGAAGAAAAAGGGAGCUGGUGGGCUUUUCCUUUAAUAGCAACAACGGUGAGCGGCACAACAAUGAUGGAGAGGGGUUGAAGGAGGAGAGGAGAGAGAGAAUUCAAUAAAAUUAAAAUUAGUAUUUUAUUCAACUUAUUUAUAUUAAUUAAUAAUAUUUUUAUUCAUAGUAAUUACCACAUGUAGAUCCUGUUAAUAAAGGGAGCAAAAUCAAGCAUUUUUCAAAUGUAGGAGACUCGAUUGUUCAAUUUUCAAACUUAGACAACAAUUCAAAACAAACCUCAAGGAUCAAAAGUGUAAUUUUCACUUUGAUAUCUUGUUCAAAUUGGAUUUAUGACCCAUUUUAUUCCCGCAAAGACACCUUCCUCUCUCUCAUUCGUGUUUCUCUCUAAGAAAAACAUACCCCGCAAAAACAGUGUAUAUUGAAAGUAAAAAAAAUCAAAAACAUCCAGUAAACAUUAUUAAUCCCAUACCUCAGCACCAGAAGACUGAUCAGAUGAACCUAAAUUCCCGCAAGCAUAGCACUGGUGCUGUUUGUACUCGCAAUUCUUGCAAAUAAAGGUUUCAAUUGCCUGCCAGCAAGCCCAUAGAUAUUGAAGAAAAUUAACAAAGGGAGUUUGCAAGCAUAGAAAACAUACAUGAAUAUUAUCAUACAUCUACUUCUUCUUUAGAGAGACCGAGCGAGAAACAAUCACCAUCCUCUUCAGUUGCAUGAAAGGACCUCAUGCACCUCCCAUCACAGCUAUAAGAAAAUCAAAAUAGCUUAUUAGGCUUAGCUUGAUGCUUCUACUUGGGAGAAAAUUUCCAAUGACUUCUGUAAUUAUUCAUUAGAUCAUAUUAUUUUGAACUAGAAACACUUUUGUGUGUGAUUUCCUGGUCGAGCUGUCAUUUCUAUGUCAUUCUGAGAAGAAGGCUAAAAGGGAAGGAAAUUCCAUCGAACUAUGAUUUUAAGAAACAAACAAUUUUGCAAAGCCAGUAACCAACCUCGAUAAUUUAAAGUAGGGGAAAAAAACAAUAUGUGUAUUGUGAAAAAAAGGCAGAAGGUAUAUUAAAAAAUAACAGGAGAACAGGUAUUGGCAGUUGAGAUAUGAAAUAUUACUCUCUCCAAAGAAAAAAAACCUUAUCAUUUAGUUAAAAUCGGACACAAGAUCCAUAAAAUGAAUUAUCAAAUAUCAAUGGAUCACUUUAAACAAAACAGAAAGGAAUGCACUACAGAAAAUGAAUACUUCAACAUUUCAUCAAAAAUAAUGAAAUAUACAAAAAGGAAACCCUAAAACCAAAGAAGAUACUGAAAACUAUAGAGAGAGAAUAGGUACAAAAAAUUUAGAAAGAACACUCCAAGAUGAUGCUACAAAACUAUGUACCACCAUGUAUUUUCUUGGCCUUUUCUCUAACAGGAUGCCAUCUAAAUGAGAGAGAAGAGAACUUCCAUGACUACUGGAAUAACUGUGUGAAUUUGAAAGAUGAUGAUUCUAUGUUUUUAACCACCUCAAAAAUUCACAAAACAUAUAUUUCAAAAGUUUUGUUUUUUUAUAGGGAUAGUUGCAAAUUUAGCAAUUAAAUUCAAAAUAAUUAAGUAUAUAGCAACAUUUUUAAAAAAUUGCAAAUAUAGCAAAAUGUGUCAAAUUCUAUCAAUGAUAGAAUCUAUCACUGAUAGACCAUGUUAUAAAAAUUGGUCUAUCACCGAUAAAUCAUACGAGUCUAUCAGUGAUACAAGUCUAUCAGCGAUAGUUUUGCUAUAUUUGCAAUUUUUUUAAAAUGUUGCUAUAUCCUUAAUUAUUAUUCCUCAAAUGGUCAUCCAUUACGAUUACCCUUUUUUAUAUUUAUGAGUGUCCAAGCUAACCUACGUGCACCUCAACUUAUUUCACAAGGAAACCAUAUGGGCUCACAACCUUCUUUUGUCAAAAUUUUGUAGGAUUAGAUAUGGUAGGCAGCAUACAUGAGGGUUUGAACAUAUUCGUCAUAGCACCUUUUAACUUUUUUCGCAGGUCCCAAUAACCACGCCCAAUGUUGUUUACAAGUAUUUCAAAAUAUGAACCUAGAAUCGAUGUUCCAAAAAGCUAUUGAGGCUCACACCUUGAGGCUCAUCCUGAGGCAAAAUUCUAAGUUUUAGCCUUGAGAUUUACGACGACCAUAAGAGGCUUACACCUCUCAUAGAAGAAGCUAACAGCUUUGUAAAAAUGCAUCAAGGCUUAAAAUCUAUGUGCCUCAUCUAGUGAUAAAAAAAAAUAGUCAUUUGCCUAGCUUCUUCAAAAAUAUCAAGGUUUAAGUUGUGUCAAUAUGAAUUAGGAUUACUUUUGUUGUUGUGACUUUAAAAACACUGAAGGCAAAAUUUAUACUAUAAAUCAAUCCUAUUACAUAUUAGUAGUUGUAGUAAUGAUAAAGAUAUCCUUUAGAAUUUUUUGAUCAAGUGAAAAUUGCAGGGGUGAAUUUUCUCUUAGCACUUUUACAUGACAAUCAUGUUUAGCACUACUUGGCUAUUUAUACCAAUUUAGGAUUUUCAAGAUGUUUUUAUUCACUUUUUGAGGCUUACUCCUCGGCCUCUCCAAGAGGAAAAGCCUCAAGGCCACCUCCAGCAUUUUAAAGCAUUACCCAAAAUGUUCAUCUGAUAACAAGGAACAGAAAACAAAUACCAUAUAAUGUUGCCACCAUUAUCACAAAAUGCACAGACAGAAUCAAAGACAUCAUCAUCACUUUCCUCUUCAACAGCAUCAUCACUUUCCUCUUCAACAGCAUCAUCAACCAUGUCUUCAUCAUCUGAAUCAUCAACUAUAAAACUUGGCUGCAUAUUACGUUGAGCAUCCUGAAAGAACAACUGUCCAAGCUGAAAAUGAGAAAACAGGAGAGUCCUUGUAGGCAUGCACUUGACAGCAAAAAUGAAUUACCUCAUGACAUGACAUUCUCUUAACAGGCUUCUCUUCAAGGAAUGCAAGUAAGAACUGUUCAGAUUACAAACCAUCAAGGUAAGAAGAUCAUCUAAUUCAGUACAAAAGAAUUCUAUUAAAAUAUGGCUCAAGAAAAAUUGACUCAUGCCACUGUAGACUGCUUUAUUAUAUUGAAAAGUUUUCAUUGAGAACACUCUAUUGUCAAAAGGUCUUUGAAACCAAAGCCCAAAGAGAAACACAGAACCUCACCAAGGACCAAACCGCACAAGGGUCUCCAUUCGCACCUCGAAACACUCUACUGUACCUCUCCCACAACCAAACACACACCCUACGAAUCACAAAAAAACAGCCUCACUUUAAAAGACAAAUGGAGGAGGAACUCCCCAAUCAUUGAACGAAUAUCCCUCUGGCGAGCAAUCGCAAUAUCAAACUCCUAAAAGAAAAACAAUUCCACGCUGAUCUCACAAACUGACACCCUCGGAGAAUGUGGUCCAUGUUUUCCUCCACCUUUCGACAAAGGAUACAAUAGAAAGGACCCAUUAACGAAGGCAUUUACAACAUAUAAGCAGCAGUGAUGUGGGGGAAGGUUGGGGAUCCAAAAGCCAAACCCUCCAAAUGGAGUUUUCAAAUAGGUCAUCUAUUUAGCAAAAUCUGGUUCUUUAGCACAAUGUUAAUUGAAGAUACCCAAAAUUUAAAAGAAUUCCUACUUAAAGGUUUUAUUCAUCUAUCUCCUGCCCAUUAUAAGCUUAAAUAUUUCUUUCCAAACAUAACUCCAUACAAAUUGCAAAAUGAAGCACAUCCGUAGAUAAUCUUCCCUAUCCUUUGACUAUAAGCCUAAAAGAUUGGAAAUCCAAUGUUGACAACAAAGAGCAAUCCUUCAAUCAUCUCUUACACCCCUUACUUUUGUGGCCCUGGUAGAACAUUGUUUCUCCUUACACAGUUACAGCCAGUUGGAUAACUUUUUUGUAACCUCCUUCAGCAUCGGGCUUGCUUUCCUCCCCCCUCUUCUACAAUAUUAUCAUCUAUGAAAGUGUUUCUAAUUCAAACAAAAUGACAAAGUAUACCACUGAAAUAACUAUCAUUUGAACAGUAACUAUACUUUUUCCAAAAUUAUUCAAAUUAUAAUAAAUGCAUGUUCCACAUGCAAAAUUUCCUUGUUACUAUCUCUUGAAUUAACAAGUGGCAAAGACUCGUAUUCUGUAGAAUUAAUUCAAUUCAAUAGCCCAGCGACUAAGUUGUGCAAAACCAGAUCUCUUCUUUGUUGACAUUUUUCUAAGUACCUCAACUAGUUAAACAUUGUACCCUCUACCACUAUUUUCAAGAUUUUAAGGUCAUCUAAAGUCCCAAACGUAACAGAAUCUUCAUUAGAGUUUUUGGAGUCUUUGUACUCUUUUAUGCCAUGAAAUCAACACUUGUGAGAUGAUAUGAAACAUAUAUCCUACUUGGCUACUGCACUCUGUGCUUGCAAGCUGACCGCAAGGAGAUUAACCGUGUGUACUUUCACAAUCAUUACCCACAGAAAAUCAGGGCCUUGCAUUCCACCAACUGAUCAGGACAGCUCCCUCUAAAAUUGAGGACUUGGAUCUCAGAUUGUAUGUGUUAUGAAAGAUGCAAAGCAGAAGAAGGAUUGGCUUCGUGAUGAUGCCCGUUUAUAUCUUCAGAUCAAGAAUUCAAUUGAGAGUGAGAUAAUUGGAUUGGUUGAUCACUGUGAGUCUGUUAAAGAACUUUUGGAAUUUUUGGAUUUUCUAUACUCAGGUAAAGAGCAAGUGCAUAGAAUGUUUGAAGUUUGUAUGCAAUUUUUUCGUGCGGAACAGAAAGCUGAGUCUGUCACCAGCUACUUUAUGCGGCUUAAGAAGAUCAUUGCCGAGCUUGGCUUGUUGUUACCUUUUAGUCCUGAUGUUAAAGUUCAACAAGUUCAACGAGAGAAGAUGGCUGUUAUGAUUUUUCUGAAUGGACUCUUACCUGAAUUUGGAAUGGCAAAGACACAGAUUCUCUCUGACUCCAAGAUUCCAUCAUUAGAUGAUGCCUUCACUCGAGUCCUUCGCAUUGAAAGCUCUCCGACUAGUGUGUCUAUUCCUCAACCCAGUAGUGCUCUCUUUAGCAAGAACAAUAACCCUCGGGCACCUCAGAGGAAUAGUACUGAUCAUCGAAAACCAGAGUCUGUAGAGAUUGUUUGUAACUACUGUCGUAAGCCAGGCCAUAUGAAACGUGAUUGUCGGAAAUUGCUAUAUAAGAAUAGUCAACGAUCUCAACAUGCUCAGAUAGCCUCCACAUGCGAUAUACCAGAGGCGUCAGUUACUAUUUCUGCAGAUGAGUUUGCUAAGUUUCAGAAUUACCAAGAGUCAUUACAAGCGUCAUCUUCCUCUACUCCGAUUGCAUCCACUGUUGCCCCAGGUAAUAUAAAGUGUCUUCUUACAUCAUCUACCAAAUGGGUCAUAGACUCUGGUGCCACAGCUCAUAUGACAGGUAAUUCUCACCUAUUUUCUAGACCGUUGUCCCCUGCCCCUUUCCCAUCUGUUACAUUGGCCGAUGGCUCCACAUCUUCUGUUCUUGGCUCUGGCACUAUUCACCUUACCCCAUCCUUUUCUCUCUCUUCUGUGUUACAUUUGCCUAACUUAUCCUUUAAUUUAAUUUCUACUAGUCAACUUACUCAUGACCUAAAUUGUGUUGUCAUGUUCUUUUCUGGUUAUUGCUUGUUUCAGGAUCGUGUGACGAAGAAGAUUAUUGGUAGAGGAUAUGAGUCAGGAGGCCUUUAUCUCUUUGAUCAUCAAGUAUCGCAAGCUGUGGCGUGUCCUGUCGUUCCCUCUCCUUUUGAAGUCCAUUGUCGUUUAGGUCAUCCAUCUUUGUUUGUGUUGAAGAAACUUUAUCCAGAAUUUAGGUCUUUGUCCUCUUUAAAUUGUGAUUCGUGUCAAUUUGCGAAAUUUCAUCGUCUUAGUUCGAGUCCUCGAGUCGAUAAACGAGCAAUUGCUCCAUUUGAGUUAGUUCAUUCUGAUAUUUGGGGUCCGUGUCCAGUUGUAUCUCAAACAGGCUUUCGUUAUUUUGUUACUUUUGUUGACGAUCAUUCUCGUCUAACUUGGUUAUAUUUAAUGAAAAAUCGUUCUGAGUUAUUAUCUCAUUUUUGUGCCUUUCAUACUGAAAUAAAAAACCAAUUUAAUGUCUCUAUCAAAACUUUGCGUACUGAUAAUGCGGGUGAAUAUUUUUCUCAUUCUCUUGGUUCUUACUUGUGUGAAAAUGGCAUUAUUCAUCAAUCUUCCUGUGCUGACACUCCAUCUCAAAAUGGUGUUGCAGAGCGAAAAAAUAGGCAUUUACUUGAAACUGCCAGUGCUUUAUCGUUUCAAAUGCAUGUUUCAAAAAUCUUUUGGGCUGAUGCUGUUUCUACAGCUUGUUUUUUGAUUAAUAGAAUGCCUUCCUCUGUUCUUAAUGGUGAGAUUCCCUAUCGUGUUCUUUUUCCUACCAAGCAUUUGUUUCCUAUUGCUCCUAAGAUAUUUGGUUGUGUCUGUUUUGUUCGUGACGUUCGUCCUCAUCAUACUAAGUUAGAUCCCAAAUCCUUGAAGUGUAUCUUCUUGGGUUAUUCACGUGUUCAAAAGGGUUAUCGUUGUUAUUGUCCUACCCUUAAAAGGUAUCUGGUUUCGCCUGAUGUUGUCUUUUUUGAAGAUACACCCUUUACUUCAUCACCAUCGAGUUUGUGUCAGGGGGAGGAUGACAAUCUUUUUAUAUAUGAGGUUACCUCUCCCACACCAUCCUUGUCUACUGAUGUGCCUCCUUCCCGCCCGUUGAUUUCUCAAGUCUACUCCCGACGACCUCCACCACAACCUUCAGACUCAUGUCCUCCAUCAAUGCUUCCUUCAUCAUGUGAUCCAGCGCCAAGUGAUGAUCUUCCCAUUGCUCUUCGCAAAGGUAAACGCAAGUGUACUUACCCCGUUUCUUCCUUUAUUUCCUAUCACCAGUUAUCUCCCUCCACAUAUGCGUUUAUUACGUCUCUUGAAUCCACAUCUAUUCCUAACUCUGUUCAUGAAGCUUUGUCUCAUCCUGGCUGGCAAAAUGCAAUGAUUGAGGAGAUGACUGCUUUAGAUGAUAAUGGUACUUGGGAUUUGGUAUCUCGUCCUGCAGGAAAGAAGGCCAUUGGUUGUAAAUGGUGUUUGCUGUCAAGAUGAAUCCUGAUGGAACAGUGGCUCGCUUAAAGGCUCGCCUUGUUGCCAAAGGUUAUGCUCAAAUCUAUGGCACUGAUUAUUCAGAUACAUUCUCUCCGGUUGCCAAGUUAACUUCCAUUCGCCUAUUUCUUUCCAUGGCUGCUACCAAUAAAUGGUCGUUGCAUCAACUUGACAUUAAGAAUGCUUUUCUUCACGGUGAUCUUCAAGAGGAAGUUUAUAUGGAACAACCACCAGGGUUUGUUGCUCAGGGGGAGAGUGAUAAAGUAUGUCGCCUUCGAAAAUCUCUGUAUGGUUUGAAACAGAGUCCUCGUGCGUGGUUUGGUAAGUUUAGUCAAGCCCUUGUAUGCUUUGGUAUGAAGAAGAGUACAUCUGAUCAUUCAGUUUUCUAUCGCCGAUCUGAGAAGGGUAUAGUUCUACUAGUUGUAUAUGUUGAUGAUAUUGUUAUUACUGGAAAUGAUGCAUUGGGUAUUUCGUCUCUCAAAACUUUCCUUCAGGGUCAGUUUUAUACAAAAGAUUUGGGCCAAUUGAAAUAUUUUUGGGCAUUGAAGUGAUGAGAAGCAAGAAAGGUAUUUAUUUGUCUCAACGAAAAUAUGUACUUGAUUUGUUGUCUGAAACAGGAAAAUUAGGCGCCAAACCAAGUGGCACUCCAAUGAUGCCAAAUCAGCAACUUGUUAAAGAAGGAGAAUUAUGUAAAGAUCCUGAGAGAUAUAGGAGAUUAGUUGGAAAGUUGAACUACUUAACAGUGACUCGACCAGACAUUGCAUAUUCUGUAAGUGUUGUAAGUCAAUUCAUGUCUUCCCCUACAGUGGAUCAUUGGUUUGCAGUAGAGCAGAUUUUGUGUUAUCUAAAAGCUGCUCCUGGACGUGGGAUCCUAUACAAAGAUCAUGGACAUACGAGAGUUGAAUGUUUUUCUGAUGCUGAUUGGGCGGGGUCUCGUGAGGAUAGGAGAUCGACUUCUGGAUAUUGUGUUUUUGUAGGUGGAAACUUAGUUUCAUGGAAGAGUAAGAAACAAAAUGUUGUUUCUCGUUCGAGUGCUGAGUCAGAAUAUAGAGCUAUGGCACAAUCUGUGUGUGAAAUAGUAUGGAUUCACCAACUAUUAUCUGAGAUAGGCUUUAGUAUUACCGUGCCAGCUAAAUUAUGGUGUGAUAAUCAAGCUGCACUUCAUAUUGCAUCUAAUCCAGUAUUUCAUGAAAGAACUAAACAUAUUGAGGUGGAUUGUCACUUCAUUCGUGAGAAAAUCCAAGAUGGGUUGGUGUCCACAGGAUAUGUGAAGACCGGAGAACAAUUGGGAGAUAUUCUAACUAAAGCUUUAAAUGGAACAAGAAUAAGCUAUCUGUGCAACAAGCUGGGCAUGAUCGACAUAUUUGCUCCAGCUUGAGGGGGAGUGUUAUGAUAUAUAUAUAUAUACAUAUGUCCUUUAUUGUAAUUUUACAUAGUCUCUAGGGUUUAGUUUAUUCUCUUUAUAAAUAUGUAACAUUGCUUUGACUCAAGAGGAAUAAGACAUACGUUUCUGAAUUCUAGAUUACAGUAUGGGAAUUAUCUUUAUAGAAAAUGAAAAGCCUACGGGGAUAAAUAUGGUUCCAGAAGUCCUGUAGGAAAUUUCUGAAAAGAGGGUAUAAAAAAUAUUUUGAGGAUGGAAGUCAACAUAACCUAGAACUGUGGAAUGGUUGAGUCAAAAAUUUUAUUUAUCUUGCACUAAUUGAAACUCUAUUGCCUGUGGGCGUGGCUUUGAGACUUAGGAAUGUAUCACGAACUCCUUCCUCCCUCCCCCCUGCCCUUUUGUUUCUUCUUCACAUCCAUAUAAAAAAAUUUAUUCAACAAAACAAAUGAACAUAAUCUUUUCAUUGUCUGCACAAGAAUGAAAGAGAACCUGGGACUUGGCCAAUAUAUCAUCCCUUUUAACUGCUUCUCCGAUUAAUGACAUGUGAUCCACCAAAUCAUUCUGGGAAGGCCUCACUUCAUACAAGCUGCAAAAAUGAAUGGCUUAAAAACAACAAAUACAAAAGCAUGAAAGUAAAAGAUGAAAUGAAUUCAUGUUACCUAAAGGUUUUAGCUAAUAGAUCCCACAAAGAUUUGCUAGAUGUAUCUGGAUUCCUCUUCAAAGCAUGAAGGCAGUGCACUGUGAUCAAGAUGGUUCUAAUGGUAUCCUCAAAGCUCUUUCUAGGCUUCUGAAGUGUAAUCCACACAUUCUCUUUGGAAAGCACCGAUAUCUCUGGCUUUGAACCAGAAAUAUUAAAUCUCCAUGCGGUAACCUGUUUAUAAACCUUUUGAAGUCCAUUAUCAACUGUACCAUGGAGGAAAACAGGUUCUUGACUGCCCUCCAAUCUCUCCCCUUCAUCCCAUUUAAUCGGCAAAAUAGAGAAUGAAAUAGGUUCUUCCUUGUGAUCCACAAAGUGAUAAUUUGAGACAGGUGGUACUGGUAAGGUCUCAGCCUCAUCAUCUGAAGACGCCAUUACUCUAUUGUAGUUCCAGUCCUGCUACUUAACAACUAAAUUCAAUGAGUGGAAUAACAAAAUAAAAAAUGACUAAAAAUCCGACCUACAAUGAAAGAGAAUAAUUUGAGACAGGUGGUACUGGUAAGGUCUCAGCCUCAUCAUCUGAAGACGCCAUUACUCUAUUGUAGUUCCAGUCCUGCUACUUAACAACUAAAUUCAAUGAGUGGAAUAACAAAAUAAAAAAUGACUAAAAAUCCGACCUACAAUGAAAGAGAAUACUUCACUUUCCCUUAAGACUAGAACAAACACCCGUUCUUGAAACAGGAAUAGGAUUGAUCAUAGUGACAUAUCCAUACGAAGUACUCCCUAAAAUGCAAAUACAAAAAGGGUAAUUGAGAGGGACGAAGAAGGUACCUGAAUGGCCUUCGGUUGAGAGCCAAUCCCUACAAGAAGCUAUUCAAACUCGGGAAAUGGCAAUACCGAACAAUUUCAACAAUGUUAGCAGCGAAGAUAGCAAAGGAAGAAUGGGAACAGAUUGUAAACAAGAAUCGGAUACCAGCAGCCCUACGGAAGAAAGUCAGGCAGAAGUUGGGGAGGUGAAAAUUAGUUGCGACGGAACCCGCGAAGAAGAGAGCAAUAUUCUUUGGGGAAAAGAAGUUACCAAAAAAUUGUGAAAACUGAAAGCCACAUAAUCGGUAAAUUAUAAAAAAGAUACGAAGAGGAUGUUUUGGAGGCAAGAGGGAGGGGAUGUUCGGGGUAAGGGGUAGAAUAGAGAUACUACGGGGUCGUUUUGGACUAAAAUUAUGGCCCUUAUUUGUAAACAUUAUUUCAAUAAAAGCAGCUACUCUAAACACUUAAGUAAAAUAAACUAGAAUAAUCAUCACGGUUGGGUUGGAUUAAAUUAGAGGAAAAAAUACUGAUCUGGUUCACUCAACCCUAUUAUGCAUAUAAUAUAUAUAAUUGAAUGUAAGAAGGGGUAGAAUUCAAAAACAAAACUUUGUAACUCACGUUCUACUAUUAAAAUUACCAUUUUAUUCAUCGUUUUCUUUCCAACACUUGAAGUUGCAUCAUUUCUUUCAUCUUUAUUAUUUCUUCUCUAUUUGUGUUCUUUAUGUACUCUUUGCUCUAAAAGACCAUAUUCAAUUUUCUUUAACAUCUCAAGUUAUUGGUAUUCAAAAUUUUAGGGACAUACAUUAGACAGGUUGAUAUAAUGACCCCUCAUGGACACCCAUUAUGUCCAUUUUUUCUAAGCUUUUCUCUUUGUUUAUGUUGUCCUUUUUAAGCUUAAGGAAGUCUUUGUGCUAGGGUUGCUGCAUAUAUCUUGAUUUCUCUUUACCAUUUGGGCUAAGAAGAGUCGAUAUUCAAAGGAUUCAUUCCUAUGUGCGUGUGGCUGUUGUUCGUGUGAAUGCUUGGCUAAAGAUUAAUUUGAAACCAAUCUAAUGACAUUGCUUUAGGAGAUCCUAAAGUUGGCUCUAUCGAGAAGGGAGAUCUCAUCAACUUAGGGGGAGUCUAAGUUUAUUCGUGAAGGGAGUUCACAAGUAAAGAGGAAUGAUUAAUCAAGAAUUUCUAUUAUUUAGGGGAGUUUGAGUAGUUAUUCACUAAUAGUAGCAUACUUAAGGGGAGCCUAAGUAUUAAAGAGAAUGUUUCCCAAGUGUCCAGUGAAUUAGUUCUACGAUUGUCUUUGUGAGCGGAAGAGUGUUUAUAUAAGUACAACUUUAUAAUUGCUUGACUCAUUGAUUUCAGUGGAUUAACUUUCCCGGACACAAUUCUCGUGUGUUUUUUCGUUUACUUCUUGUUGUUUUGUUAUUAUCUCUCAUCUUGGUUAUUGUUUGACAAUAUAUUUCGUAGUAAAGAACAGUCAUUACAGUUUUUCAUUUUUACAAGUUUAUGUUUCUAUUGUUGAGAAAAGUAAAACAUGUGUAAUUUUGUCUCAUAAUUUUUUCAAUUAAUUGUAAAUAAUUAACGUAAAUUCAAUAAUGAAAUAUAAAAUAAAGAAGUAAACACAUUCUUUAAAGGAAUCUAAAGAGUUGGAAUGUAAAAGAAUUUCUCAUUUCGUAUUCUCAAAAAGUUUAACAAUUUUGUUUUAAUAAUAAUCAGCUUAUCUUUCCAUUUAAAAAAAAUAUGAAAAGUUUAGUAUUUCAAAACACAAAAGGAAAGAAAAGCACAGUCCAAAGCGAAUUAAGGGAGAAUAUUAGUAGACUACUUCGUCCAUAUAAAAAUAAAAUAAAAGUUCAUGCCAUUGUUAUUUUUUCACAAGUUCCAUGAUUUCGUGGUUGGUUUUGAAUUUUUUUGGACGAGUAUUGAAUUCCGACAUAUCUUCCUCAUAUUCUCACUUCUUCUUGUUUGCGAUUUCUUCAUCUCUUGUUCCAUAAUUUCUUCCUUGUACGUCAUCUUUCAUCUUCUUUAUUUUUCUUCUUCUUUUUUACUAAAUGACUGUGUUCCAAAAUCUAAACAAUCAGUCAUCUAUCUCAUAUAGAUCACUAUCACUAUCUAUCCUAAAUAGAUAAGUAAUAGAUUCAAACGGAUCACUUACCAACAUCUAAACGAUUGUGUACCAAUAUCUAAACGAUAUUUUGGACUAUAUUAUACAACCGUUUAAAUUAGAAGCUUUUUUUUUUUUGUAUGUUUGUGGUCAAUUAAUUCCGAGGUAUUUUUGUUAUUUUACGUUAUGGACUUGUGGGCUCUUUCUUUUUUCAAAAUUGUUCUAUACGGUGUAAAUAAUUUUGCAUUUUGUUCUACUUUUGGGGAAAAAACCAACAAAUUAUCUUAAAUUUAUCUGACGUUGUUUUAUACUUUAAAGACAAACUUAAAUUAUCCUUAUUAAUUUAUUUUACAUAAAUGAUAAUUCAAAGAAAAAAACACCCAUUAUGUUUGUUAUGGAUUUUAAUACUAUAAAAUAAGAAUAAAGAAAAUACGUCAUAACAAUGAAACAACACAAAAGAGAAUAAUAGAGAGGGAGAAAACAUGGAAAGCAAUUGAACUCAAUUGUGGUAUAUCUAAGAAAGACAUCACAUACCUCUAUUUAUAAGACAUGUCAUGUCAUGGUACAAAUUACAAUAUGAAUCUUAGUAGGAUGAAUGUUACAACAUGGAAUUGAAUGAGAGUUAUAUGACAAUUGAUAACCUAUGUAGGUUAUGGAUAGAUGUACAUUUACAAUAUAUAACUAUAUUUGCAAUACUCUCUUUUAGAUUUCUAUCUAUAGUAUAUAUAAAAGCUUGAAUGAGAAGAAAAUUUUUUCUUCCAUUUUUGACUUUCCUUUAGAAGUAGCUUCUAUAAUUAGGUAGAUGACAAUGUUGUCCUUUUCUAUUUUUAUGUUAAUUGAAAAAAAAAAGCGGUCCUCAAUAGUUGGCCAACAACGGACAUUGAUACUUGCCAGCAACAGUCAUAAAAAACAGUUGACAAAAGUUUACCGACAAUGGUUGAGGAAAGUUAACCAGUAAUGGGUCAUCGAAAAUGGUCGACGAAAGCUGGCCGACAAUGCUAGUCGAUCAACAAUAAACAAAAGUUGUCUAGCAAUAGUCGCUGAAAAAUGGUCGACGAUUUCAGAGGUUGACCAGCAGCGAUUACGGGAAAAAUGGUACAAGGAAGUUACUGCCAGUGAUAAAAAAAAAAUAGUUGCCAUAAAAAAGUUCAUCAGAAGUUGAUCGACGAUGGUUGUUAGAAAAAGAUUGUCGGGUUCGAUCAACAAUGGUUGUCAAAAAAACAGUAGAUGAAAGUUGACCGUCGAAGGUUGCUAAAAAAUAGUAGCCAGAAAAGCAGUAACCACAGGUUCGCCGACGACUAUUAAUGGUGGUCAAUAUUUUUCUUGUGACUAUUGCCAUAAAACAAGCAUUCGAAGUUUGAUCAACUACAAUUGUCAAAAAGUAGUCAUCGGAGGUUGGUCGGAAGCGAUUAAUGGUGGUCAACUUACUCUAACUCGAUAACACUUAUACUCAAAUGAACUCCCUUUUUUCAACAAUGCUCUUUUUCAAUAGGACUUACCUUUUGGAUCUAGGUCUUAUAUACAUACGUACACAUAUAUAUAUAUAUAUAUAUAUAUAUAUAUAUUUAUAUUAUUAGUUUAGUAAAUGGAAAAGAAGUAGCUCACUUCACAUCACUCUCCUUAUCUCUCUGACUCACUCUCUCCCUCUCGUUUGGAUCUCUCAUCUCUAGUGUUCACAAUCUCCAACGUUCGCCAUCUUCUUCUCAACUCGACAACCCAACCCAACUUAAUCCAUAAUUUAAGGGUUUGAUUGGGUUGGUUAAAAAUACUAUUUGGGUUAUUCAUAUUGUCAAUCCAACCAACCUAAAAAUAUGGGUUGGGUUAGGAAUGUCCUCCAACCCAACUCAAUCCGUUUACACUCCUCCACUCUUUCAUGUAGUUGUUAUGAUAUAAUGUACACCCUUUCUAACUUUUCUUUCAUCCAAUUCGUAAAAAUGGUAAAUAUGAUGAAGAUUUGGUAAAUUGUGAAGCCUUAAAUUUGUGACACACUUUCAAGUAAUAUGUCAAUAUGUCUUUUUUGAUUUCAAAUUGAAUCAUUCGUGAAAUCUCCAAUCUUAUAAUGAAGUUCGAAUUCACUUUCUAUUUCUUUGUCUUCUAUGUAGUGACCAAUUGAAUAGUUUUUUUUUUUCUAUUGAUAAAAUCAUUGUAAUAUCGUGUCAAUUACAAUAAAAAACAAUAAAAACAAUAAAAAAAACAAAUUAUUUAAACUUCAUAAAAACAAACUAUUAAAAGACAAAAAUAAAAUCAAUUACAGUUUCUUUUCUAUGAAAUACAAAAAUUUUGUAUGAAAAUGUAAAUAUUUUAUUGAGGGUAAAUUGUUUACUCUUUUUGAAAAUUCUCCAUUUUCUAUAUGUGUGUGUAUAUAUUUAUAAAGGGGCUGUGGGAGAAACAUCAUCUGCCCUUUUAGUGAAUGAUUAUAGGGAUAUUUUACCUAAUUUCACCUUUAAAAAAAAUUUAAAAUCUCACCUACUUUUCAAAGUAAAAUUUCUUUUUUAAAAAAUAGAUUUUAUCCUUAAAAUCUAAAAUUCACCCUAAAAGAAGGAAGAAAAAAUCUUCCAUAUUUUUGUGCAUAUACACGUUUAAAGUUGAUUUUUUUUUUAAAAAAAAUGAAAUCUCUCCUAUUUUGUGGAUACAACUAUAAAAAGAAUCCGGUGAUCUCUAAAGUUUUAUUUAUCAUUAAACAAAAACUAAAAUUUUAUUAAAAAAUAGUAUUCACUUAAAAAAUUAAAAUUAUGAGUAGUUUAAAAUUUGGUUUAUUUUAAUACAUGAUUUAAGACCCAAAUUUAACCGUAAAAAUAAUUGACUAAGUGUCAAAGGUUUAAGGACAAAGCGUUUAGAGGUUAUAGGGUGAUGUGUAGGCAGCCAAAAGAAGGAAAUAUAACCUCUAAAGUGGUUAUUUAGGCGUUUGGACAAGGUAGGUAGCUAAGCUUGAGUGUGUGUUUGGCUAGGCGACAAGGCUUGUCCGUAGAGGUUAUUGGGUGGUGAAGAGUGUCCCUAGGCGAUUGAGAGCAAAAGAGGUUAGCAAGGCUAUGCGAGAAAGAUUUUUAGGGCGAGGAAAGCUUGUCAUUUAGAGGUUAUUAAGCGUUAAGAUGCUAGGCGAGAAAGCUAGACAACAUGAUGUUGGGCGAGUAGACUUGCACGCGAGGAAGGAGUGCUUGCGGCCAUGUUUGAAGUUAGUUAGGUGUUUAUCUUGAUGUUCCACACUUACGUGUUUUGGUUAGACAAGAUAAUGAAGAGGUGGAGUCCAUGGGUACUUUACAAGUGUUCUCUACAUACUUAAGUUAAAUUUCGGCAAGUAGGUCGUGUCAAUAAAGGCUCAUGUAAGACUCAAUAUAAAUAGGAAACUUUAGAAUGACAUUUCUCCUAUCAUACUUGUGCGUUUUGGUUGAAAUUACUCUCAAUAGUUCACAAAUUGACUCUAGUUUCUAGAGUAGGGCUACCGGAUAAAUUUGAGUAAAGGAGGUCUGAGUUUGAGUCGACGAAAGGGAGAAUUAUCAGCUUUCAGAGGAAUCUGACACUAGAAGAAAUUUACCAUUUAAUGUCGGUUUUAAACCGACAUUAAUGACCUUUGGUGUCGGUUCGGAACCGACAUCUAUGCUAGCCUUAUUAAAGGCCUUUAAUGUCGUUUUUACUUUGAUAUCGAUUUAAAAACGACAUCAAAGACAUCAUUAAUGUCGGUUUAAAAGCGACAUUAAUGACCAUUGAUGUCAGUUUUAAACUGACAAUUUUUAUGGUGUUAUUGUUGACCUUUAGUGUCGGUUUGCCUUUUAUGUCGUUUUUAAACUGACAUUAAAAUCUUGUUUUUGGAUCUAUUUUUACAAAAUUUAUUUUUAUUUAAUUGUUGCAUUGUUGUCUAUUUUUUAUAAACUGACAUUAGAUACGUGUAAAUAAAUAUUUUUUUGCUCACUCCAACAAAUCAAUAAAAUUAAUAUUAUUUUAGAAACUAGAAUAUUUUUCUUUUACAUUUGUAUACAGAAAAUGAAAUCUUAAUAUUGCGUUUGUAUAUACAUUCUACAAUAAUACAUGAAACUAGAUCCUAAUACAAGACUUAAAUAAGAAAUCUUAAACGCCUUCACAAUCUUCAACUUUCAACGAUCGCUUCCAUCUACACAAUCGCUUAGCUUAGCUUGGCUGGCUAUCUAAGACCAAAAUAUACUUUACAACCUGAGGAAGAUUAAAUCUAGAAUCUGCAAAAUUAGUACAUAUUAUUUAAAAUCAAACUAAACAGACUGCAAUCUAAAUGUGGAAAAUUAAAAAUUACUACAAAGUUUUCGUAAAGUAAAUAAUGUAGCAACAACAAAGAAGACGAUUGAAAUGACAACCCAAAAGUACUGCAGAAAUAAAGAAGAAAAUUAGCUUUUAUCAAACAACUCGUUAACCUGAUUUGGUUCUUCAAAGAUCAACAACAAAAAGAGGAAUACAACUAAAGAAUAAUUAUACUAUCCUCGACUCUGACUUCAAAGCAAAUUUUAAAUGUUCAAUUUAGCAAUGUUAGUCUACAGGCUUCUUACUCUUAAUUGUAUAAAUUUACCCAUCAAUAACAACAUUGUUUUUAUAGAGAAAGUUGAAUAAUGGAGAUGAUAAAUAAUCUUACAAACUCCUAUUGGAUCGUUUUUCCUUUCAAAUGAAAAUAGUUAAUGAAUUUCAUAUAUCGAAGGUGAAAAUCCCAAAUAGUAAAAGAACAUGGAAUAUAAGGAAGUCCAUACUCCACUAGCUAGGUAUUGAUCAAAGAUAAAUAUAUGGAAAAAUAGAUGCAACCUACAAAUAUAUCAAAACAGACUAAUACUCAAACUAAACUAAAGAAAACAAAAACAUUACUACUAAAAUUAACUAAAAGAUAAAAUAAAACACAAUUGAAAACAAUUAAUUACCAAGACUAAUCUCAAUCGAAAACCAAAACGCAUCACAUUCUAAAGAUAUUUUGCUUCACAUAACACUCCAAAUAGCUAUACCAAAAAAAAAAAAAAAACAUAAAUAUCUACAAAAUAAAUUUGAUCCUAGCAUAAAAAGCAUCAUAUGCAUCAAUUUACAAGUAAUAGGAUGUGCGAGUUAGAAAUUAAUAUAUGAUGAGCAUUGACAGAUAGCAUGUGAAAUGAAGUGCUACAUCUUUAUUAAAAGGAACAAGAUUUCAAUAAUUAAUAUAUGAUGAGCAUUGACAGAUAGCAUGUGAAAUGAAGUGCUACAUCUUUAUUAAAAGGAACAAGAUUUCAAUAAAAUCGAAUCUUUAAUGCAUCACCAUUCUCAUAAAAUGCUAAACAAAUCUUCAUAAUCGCUUAGCUUGGCUGGCUAUGUAAGACCAAAAUAUAUACUUUACAACAUGAGGAAGAUUAAAUCCAUAAUCUACAAAAUUAUGUUGACAGAGGCCAACAUUUGCUCCAUCCACAAUAGCAUCACAAUGAUUAUGUACUUCUAUGAGUGCAACACGCCCGUGGCCAUAUUUUAUAACGUUAUAUAUGCAAAAGAAAUAUAUGUAUAUAUAUAACGAAAAUUUUAUGAACCUACGCAUGCACACAUUUAAUAAUAAUUACUUACUCUGCAUUUUUCAUUUUGGCAAAUCCACCAACAAGAAUGGUGUAAGUUACCAAGCUCAUUUCUAUGCCUCCUUCUCUUCUUUCAUUUUUCUAACAAAAGAUGGUAUGAAUAAUGUUGCACAUCAUUAAAGCUUACUAUUAUCGCAAAACGACACACUUGAAAAAUAUUUAGAUUGAAUUAAUAUAGUAAAUAUACUUUUGCAACGACAUAUCUACCAUCAAAAUAUAUAUUUCAAGCAUAAAAUACUUAAUUGGCCUUCUAUACAAAUCAAUCAAACUUUAACCAUAUUCAAAACUAGAAUGGUGACCUUUAUGUCAAUAAAUGAAGCAAAAAUAUUAAGCUAACAUUGAGAUCAAAUUAACAUAUGACGAAAGAAAGGGAGAAAAUAGGAGUAGUUAUUACUUUGUGUAGACAUGAGACCAUGGUUCUAUUUCCCUAGCUCGCAUAUUUUCAAAGAUUUCACGUGCACCGUUCAUAUCACCUCUCCUUGUGUAGUAAUUCACCAUCAAACCAUACUCUUUCCUAGAAGGAUUAAUGAUAAUAGAUUUCAUCCUAAAAAAAAAAAAAAGAUCAAACCAAUUAAUAUGAAAAUGCUCAAAUUUAGACUUUUCACUUUUUAUGUAUAAAAUUCAGCAAAAGGUGAAUGUGAGAUGUCUCAAAGCUUGCUUACAUUCAUGCUCAUGAACAGAUCAUUGUUGGUGCAAGUUUGAAUGAAUGAACUCGAACACGCACGAUCAAAGCAAUACAAUUGAGAUUCUUACCUUGUCUGUAUGAUGUUGCACAGUUAUAUUACAUUGUCCAGUAGAUACGUCCCAAAUUUUGAUUUGCUUAUCAAGAAUUUGAAAUAAAAUAACUCCAAGAUGCAAGUGGGUCAACAAUUUUAAGUGAAAUGAUUAAAAUGGGAAAUUGAAUGAGCCUUAACAAGAAAACUAGCAGCUUACAAUUCUACACAAUAACAAAGACUAUAUUCAAACUUCUUAAAGAAACCACAGUGCUUCUAAGUCCACAAAGGAAGAUGUAGUUAUCAAUUUACUAAAAAUACAAUAUCUGGUCUUGUAUUAUUAACAAGAUACAUAAGUGUAACAAUUGCACUAAGAUAUGGUACUUAUAGGUCAAGAAGUUCUUCAUUAUCAACUCGGGGUUGAAAUAUAUAUUGCUUUACAUCUAGUAAACGAACUUGCAUUGGAAUGUUCAAUGGAUGUGCUUUAUCCAUAUAAAGUCUUUUAAAAAAAUUUCCAAUAUAAGUUGAUUGAUAAACAAAUAUCUCAUCUGCCAAAUGCUCAAAUUGCAAACUGAGGCAAAAAUUUGUAUUUCCGAGGUCUUUCAUCUUGAAUUCUUUCUUAAGAUAUUUUAUUGUCUUUGAAAGCUCUUCAAGAGUUCAGACUAUAUUUAAAUCAUCAACAUAUAGAGUUAUAAUAGCAAAUCUUGGCUAUGAUUUAUUUAUAAAAAUGCAUGGACAUAUUUGAAUAUUUUGAUAUCCUUCUUUCAACAAAUAUUCACUCAGAUGAUUAUAUACCACAUUAGUAUUGAUUGUUUUAAUCCAUAUAAUGAUCUCUGUAACUUUAUUGAAUAUAGUUCUCGAAAACUUGAUUUAUAUAUUUCAAGUAUCUUAAAUCCUUCUAGAACUUUUAUUUAAAUAUCAUUAUCAAGAGAUCCAUAUAAAUAUGUUAUGACUACAUCCAUAAGAUGCAUGUCCAAAUUUUUAUACACAACCAAGCCAAUAAAAAAUCUUAAUGUGAUUUCAUCCACCAUCAGAGAAUAUGUCUCCUCAUGGUCAAUACCAGGUCUUUGUGAAAAACCUUGUGCAACUAAUCUUCCUUCAUCUCUUGUAAUCUCAUUAUCUUCAUUUCUUUUUCUCACAAAUAUCCAUUUAUAUUCCACAGGUUUGACACCUUUUGCUGUUUGGACUACUGAUUCAAAAACUUGACAUUUUGAAAGUGAAUUUAAUUUUGCCUCAAUUGAUUCUUUCCACAAAGACCAAUCUUUUCUCUGUCGACAUUCUUCAACGAAUUUUGGUUAUGGAUCUUCAUUUUUUAAUAUAGUAUCAAGUGCAAACUAUUAUCAACAACUGCAUUAAUUAUAUUCCAUCUCUUUCCUGUCUUAGUUGUUUUAUCUUCUUCGAUAUUUUGUGUCAUAGGAUUUCUUCUGGAACAUCCAUAUCCUUAAUCGAGUUAUUGACUCAAUUUCUAUUUCAAGGAUUUUUAUCUUUAAUGACAAGUUGUUAUGUUGGGAUAUCAAUUUUUUAUGAGACAUUUGCAACUCUGAUAUGUGUUUUAGUUACUUUCUUUGCAUCUACAAAUGCAUCUAGUAACUGAUUUGCUAUAUAUAUUUUGCAAAUGAAUUAUUUUAUGAACUUCAAGUUCACAUUGAUCUGUACGAGGAUCCAAAUGAGACAAUAAUGAUACAUUUCAUGUAAUUUCUUUUUCCAAUUUUUUUAAUUUCUCCUUAUAACGUUGAAAAAUUUGUCUAAUUAAAAUGAUAAUCAAUAAAUCAUGUAGACCCGUAAGAGGUUCAAGAUUUCAAGAUAUUUAAUAAUUUAUGGAGAAUCGAAUCCAACAUAUAUUUCUAGCCUUCUUUGAGGAUCCAUCUUAGUACGUUGUAAUAGAGCAAUUGGAACAUAUAUGACACAUCCAAAAAUUCUCAAAUCCCUAGAAGAAAUUUUGCCUUUAAUGUCAGUUGUCAACUGACGUCUUUGCAAGCAUUAUAAAAGGCCUUUAAUGUCGAUUUGACUUUAAUGUUGGUUUAGAAACGACAUUAAAGGCCUCUUUAAUGUCGGUUUAAAACCGACAUCAAAGGCCUUUAAUGUCAAUUUAAAAUCAAUAUCUUUGAUGGUUUUAUUGAAGGUCUUGAAUGUCCUUGGCCUUUGAUUUUGAUUUUAAACCGACAUUAAAGAGGCCUUUGAUGUCAUUUCUAAACUGACAUUAAAGACACCUUUAAUGUCAUUUUUAAAACGACAUCAAAACCUUGUUUCUGGCCCAUUUUUAAAUUUAUUUUUAUUAUAUUGUUGCAUUAUUGUCCAUUUUUUAUGACAUCAAAACCGAUAUUAUUUGUCUCGAAUUAUGAGAGGAAAUGUUCAUCAUCGUAUAUUGUGAAAAAUGUAAAAAAAAUUGUUGGCACGCUUGCUAGCUAUAGAAUGCUAGAGCUACUACUCCAUGGCAAACCUUAUACACAUCAAAUACACUUUUCCACACUUCUUCCAUAUAGAAUUAAACAAAUACAUAUAAUCCAACACCUAUAUAUAUUCACAUAUCAAAUAAAUGCAUGUUGUCCUCUAUGACAAACCAAUAGGAUUCCUAUUUCACCCGCAAUGAAUAAGAUCCAACACAUAAUAUACCAACACACUUUUUCACACUUCCAUAAAGUACUACAACAAAUACACAUCAUCCAACACACACACACACACACACACACAUAUAUAUAUUCACAUAUCAAAUAAACACACUAUAUCCGAUGACUAUAAGUGAAAACUCAAAAUCUAAAAAUAAUAACAUCACGAAAGGGGCGUACAUUUGCAUAAGAGAGUUCUUUCCUAAACAAGGAACAAUCAUUUCUACAUUUAUGUAUCUUCUCGUACUUCAUUCCAAGAGUACACAAAAUCUUUUUGCUUCAUAAGUAGAAGUAGGGAUUUCAUUAGGAGUAGGUAAGAUGUCACCAAUUAAUUUUAACAACUCCGUGAUACUCUUUUCACUCCAUCCAAAUUUAACUUUCAAAUUAUAUAAUUUUAUCAAUGUAGAUAUUUUGGUAAAAAUUUUACAAUUAGGAUAUAAUGGUUUCUUGGCAUCAUCUAGUAGUUUCUCAAAAUUUUCUAACUUGGUCAUUAAAAUAAUUGUGUGCACCCUCAAACAUCCCAAUUAUGUCACCAACAUCAAACAUCCCAAUUAUGUCAUCAACAUCAUCCACGUUAAUUUCUUCUCUUGCACUACUAAAGACACUUUCAUUGUUUCUCUUCAUUGGUAGUGAUUCACCAUGAAAAAUUCAUACUUGAUAACUCUUAUCGAUGCCGUUAAAAAAUAAUAAGUGAUCUCUAAUUGUAUUCACAUGUAAAGUCUUUGCAUUUACGCACUUUAAACGAGAACAAGUCAUGAUGUUCGAUGUCUUCGAAUGUUUCAACCCAUUUUUAAUAAACAUCUCAACCCCAACAACAUAAUCAGUUAACAUUCUAUUAUUUUUCAUCCAUGGCUUAUCCAUAUUAUAUAAGGAUGCAAUUUAAUCUACAAAAAAAUGUCAAAAAAACAAUAAGGAAUAUUUAAGUAAUCUUACACUUGUGAACUCAACUAUAAUCAACAAUAAUACCUAAAAAGUUGAAGACUAAAUAUAAUUAAUGUAAAUUUCUAUAUACACCCAACAACCAAACAAUUAGAAUAAAGCAAGACUAUCAAAUAAGCACAUAUGAAAAAGAAAUUAAAUUCUUAUCCACAUUCCAAAAACGUACUAACAAGUUCUAUAUAAACCCAAACAACCAAAAAGUUCUAUAUACACUCAAACAACUACAAAACUCGUAAUCGUAUCACUCAAUCAACUAACAAGCAAAUCUCAAAUUAAAACCAUCGACGAAGACCAAACACAAACUUCUAACCAUCAUUAUGACAUUAUAAUUCCAAAUGAAUGGAAGUAAUUAGUUUGAUUUUCUUUUACUAACAAUUUGAGGUGUGUUAAAAAGCCCUCCGACACGCUUAAAUACUGACAACAUAUACCAAGUACCAAAUAUAUCUACAAAAGACCGAUGAGCAACUUAAAAAAAAAGAAGAGAAACUUCAAUUAAAUACAAAAAGUGCAUGUGCACUCGUGUGCAUGAGUAUAUUAUCAUCGCACAAUCAAUUAAAAUAUACAUGCAUGCAUGCUCCAAGAUUUUGUAAUAUUGAAGCACAAACCAAUUCAAUAAUUACAAAUCGAAAGCAUCCAUUCAUUCUUUGGAUACACAAGCGUAAAAAAAACUUUUCAAAAUCUUAAAGAUAAUACAAAUAAAUAAAAAUACGGAUUUAAUUUUCAAGGAGUAUGAAUCAUUACCUCUCCUUACCCUUCUUUAAGAAUCACUUAAGCAACUUCUUCCUAGCAAUUGGAAGAUAUGUUAGAAAACAAUACAAAUUAGCAUAGAACAUCACAGUAAACAAAAGCGUUCAGAGUAACGUACACAAAAGUAUAAGAGUUUAUCUUUUUUAAAGCUACAAACUAAUGGGUUCACCAGAUAUCUCAUCAAAUAGGUUCACCGGUGACUGCUGAAACGUGUGGGUUGUGACUGCUGAAUCAGAAUCAGUCCGAUUUUAGGUGGGUAUCUAACCGAAUGGGUUCAGAGUUGGAGAUUUGUGGGUGGUGAAUGCUGAAUCUGGCUAUCUCACAAACACGAUUCACUGGAGAGAAAAAUAUUUUGAUGGUGGUCGUGAGAGCUGGGCACAAACGUAGAUGAAGGUGGAUGAAGGAAAUGAUUGAUUUCAAUAUAACACCCCAAAACUAGUAAGUUAACUUUAAUGUGUGUUAUAUUGAAAUUUUUUAGGUGUUAUGUGUGAAAUUAUUUGAUUUGUGGAAGUUAAGUACGUUGGAGUGAUAUGUGGUUAAUUCUGAAAUUUGAAAUCCUAUUGUUAAAGUGGUGAUUUUUGGAUUGAUUGGUUGGUAAAUUAAAUUUGUAAAGUUUGAAGUAUUAUGAGUAAUUAUUGUUUAUCAGUAUAAGCAAAGUUAUAGAGGAAUAAGAAUAAUUAUAUUAUGGGAUAAUAUAAUUAUUCAUAAUAUAAUUAUUAUGGAAAAGAGAGAAGUUAUUGAUGAUAUAUUGAGUCGGUAAUGAAGAAAGAGAAAAAUUAUUUGAAAUAGAAAAAAAUGAGUUCGUUGGGGAAAUUAAAUAAUGAUAAUAAAGAUGACAAUAGUAAUGAUAAUAAUACUGUAUUAUUAUUAUUAUUGUAUAUAUUAAAUAAGCCUCUUUCAUUUUUCAUGUCCAUCUUCUCCACCCCUCUUUCUUCUUCACCAUUCAACCCUAGAGCAGUCGCCGCCCCACUUCAGCCAUCGUCGCGCACAACACUCCAGUGAGAGAGUCCUCGUCACGGUCGCAUAGUCGAAGCAUCACGGUCACGAAGCACAACCGUUCGUUUCUCUCCAGCCGUGUCGACUCGUGUUGCAUCGGACAGUCGAACGACCCCUAUCUUCCGCCGUGCGCUCCUCCUUCGCGUCGUCGAUCGUAACCCUCUCUUUUGUCGAAACCAUCAUCGGUCGUAGCCUCCACUUGCACAGCACCGCCGGACAUCAUCGCGCUUGACAGUCAAGGAUGCAAGCCAUGACAAUUUUCUUUUCGCGAGCCACACGUCCAAGCCGCGUCAUACCAUAUGAGGGUCACUCAGGUUCACCACCUAUGUAUGCCUAUGUGGCUGGUUUGAGAUGUGAUUCGAUGGGAUCACUUACAACCCGACUCUCCUAUAGGGUUAUUCCUUCGGGUUCACCGAGAGCCCAAAUGUGUCCCUACGGGACCAUUGGAUAGUAUGCAUUCGGAGCGCAAUAGUAUGCAGUACCAUGUUACAUGACUCUAGGUUAACAGACACAUACUGAGACCAAUAUGGGUCUCUUACUAAGUAUAAAUUUAUACUCACUCUUUUAAAUGUUUAGUUUUCAGGUAAGGGUAGAGGCAAGGGCAAACUGGCGAAUGAUAAGAAGUGACCGUGGAUCGCCAUAGGGAACCGUUCAGUUUUCUUUCACAUUUAUAUUUCAGUAGUUAUAUUUUCAUAGAUUUAUUUCAGAACUCCAGUUCAAUUACUUUAAGUAUAUUUCCUCUAUUUUUGGGCCGAAAGUAGUAUUUAGAUUAGUUAUUUUAACUAUUUAUUUAUUUUUAUUAUUUAAAGUUUUUCCUCAAAUUUUAAUUUAUUUUCUUGUAUAUUAAAAAAAAAAUCUAUAUUUACUUAAAUAGUAAUGACCUAAACCUUCUAGAAAAGUUGGGGCGUUACAGUUGGUAUCAGAGUCAAAGUUUUAGAUUUUGUAGACUGACUUACGAUGUAAGUCUUUGAUUUUAUCCCUAUGGUUAAUACGGUCUUUCGUCACUCGCCAGGUACAUUUUUAUGAUAUAAUUUAAGAUUGUGCAUAUGACCUUGCAUGAAUUAAACUAGAUAAGUAAGCAUGUUAUGAAUGAACUCGUAGUAAAAGACUUUUAAUGGUGGAAAUUAGGAAAAAAAUGCUGCCAUGUAGAAGUGUUCAUAGAGGUGGUAUUAGAGGUAGAGGAGCUGGACGUAACCAUCCUGCGGGACAACCUGAAGCACAACCUGGAGGACAGCCCGGGGAACAACCAACUGUACAAGCUGUCAACCCUACUGCACCUGUUACUCAAGCAGACCUUGCUGCUAUGGAGCAAAGGUACAGAGACUUAUUGUUUGAAGUGAUGGCACAACGACAGCCUGCCUCACAGUCCUAGACAGCUCUUGUUCAGGCAUCAACUGUAGGUGAUCAGAUUCCAGCUACAGGAGUUCAGGCCCCAAUUGUAGCCCAACACUUACCAGGCAUGCUUUUAGCCGAAGCCAAGCACUUGAGGGACUUGAAGAAGUAUAACCCUUAAACUUUUGAUGGAUCUUUAGCAGAUCCCACCAAAGCACAAAUGUGGUUGAGUUUGGUGGAGACCAUCUUUCGUUAUAUGAAGUGCCCUAAUGACCAGAAGAUUCAGUACGCUGUGUACUUACUGAUUGAUAGAAGCAGAGGUUGGUGGGAGUCCACAGAGAGAAUGUUGAGUGGAGAUAUAAGUAAGAUCACAUGAGAGCCGCUCAAGGAGAACUUUUAUGCCAAAUUCUUCUCUGCCACAGUGAGAGGGGCCAAGUGCCAGAGUUCCUAAAACGAGAGCAAGGUAACAUGACCAUGGAAGAGUAUGAUCAGAAGUUCAAUGUGUUAUCCCAGUUUGCACCCGAUUUAGUGAGAACCGAGGUUGAGAGAGCUAACAAGUUCGUCAAAGGUCUCAAGUUAGAGAUCUAGGGUUUCGUUUGCGUCCUUAGACCAACCACCCAAGCUGAUGCGCUGCGCAUGGCAGUAGACCUGAGUUUGUAUGAGAGGACGAUGUUGGCCAAGGCUGUAGAGAAGGGGCCAACUUCGGGACAUAAACGGAAGACUGAGCAGCAGCCUAUAGUAGCACCACAAAGGAAUUUGAGAUCAAUGGUUUGUUCCAACGGCACUGACAACAAGCUACUCAGACAUGCCAAACCUUGAAGGUACUAUUCAUGACUCUUAAUUAUGGAAGACCUCACUCGGGUCGUUACCUAGCAGGAAGUGGAGUAUGUUACAAAUGCAGACAACUUAGGCAUCUAGCUGAUAAGUGCCCUCAGAAGUCAUUCGGAGUUGUUGCGAACCAGACUUCCCCACCCCCAUCAAGGGAGAGUUUUUGUCACUAAUAGGCAGGAGGCCGAGAGAGUUGGAACAAUGGUGACAGGUACACUCCCAAUCUUGGAACACCUGGCUUUAGUAUUAUUUGACUCGGGGUCCUCUCAUUCUUUUAUAUCCUCUGUGUUUGUAUAGCAUAUGAAUUUAGAAGUAGAACCCCUAGGUUACCUGUUGUCUGUUUCUACUCCAUCUGGAGAAAUUAUGUUGUCAAGAGAAAAGAUAAGAGCAUGUUUUAGAUGUAACUUUAUUAGUAUUGGACAUGCAAGAUUUUGAUGUAAUAUUAGGCAUGGAUUGGCUAUCCGCUAACCAUGCAAACAUAGAUUGUUCCCGCAAGGAGGUAGUUUUUAACCCUCUUGAGGUAACUAGUUUUAAGUAUAAGGGGCAGGGACUGUGGUUCUACCUAAAGUUAUCUCAGCCAUGAAGGUUAGUAAGCUGCUCGACCAGGGUACUUGGAGUAUCUUGGCUAGUGUUAUGGACACUAGAGGGCCUAAAGUAUCUUUAUCAUCAGAGCUAGUGGUAGGGAAAUAUCUCGAUAUUUUUCCAGAGGAGCUUCUAGGACUUCCGCGCCGCAGAGAGGUUGACUUCGCCAUAGAGCUCGAACCAGGUACUGGUCUCAUAUCGAGAGCCUCAUACAGAAUGACGCCAGCAGAACUGAAGGAGCUGAAGGUCUAGUUGCAGGAAUUGCUGGACAAGGGUUUUAUUCGACCUAGUGUGUUACCUUGGAGAGCACCAAUGUUGUUUGUGAAGAAGAAAGAUGGGUCGAUGCGUCUUUGCAUUGACUAUAGAGAGCUUAAUAAGGUGACAAUCAAGAACAAAUAUCCAUUGCCUAGAAAUGAGGAGCUAUUUGAUCAGCUACAGAGAGCCACGAUGUUCUCUAAGAUCGGUUUACGUUUGGGAUAUCACCAGUUGAGGAUUAGGCACAAUGAUAUCUAAGACGACCUUUCGUUCUCGUUAUGGACAUUAUGAGUUUAUUGUAAUGUCCUUUGGCUUGACAAAUGCUCUUGCUACAUUUAUGGAAUUGAUGAACAUGGUGUUUAAGGAUUUCUUAGACAUUAGACAUUUAUGCGAUAGUUUUUAUUGAUGACAUCUUGGUUUACUCCAAGGCAGAGGCUGAGCAUGAGGAGCAUUUGCAUCAGGUGUUCGAGACCCUUCGAGCCAAUAGGUUGUAUGCCAAGUUUUCCAAGUGCGAGUUCUGGAUGAAGCAGGUGUCAUUCCUUGGUCAUGUAGUAUCCAGUGAGGGACUUUCUGUGGACCCAGCAAAGAUCGAAGUCGUUACCAAUUGGCCUCGACCUUCUACAAUUAGUGAAGUUCGAAGUUUUCUAGGUUUAGUAGGUUAUUACAGGAGGUUUGUGGAAGGGUUCUCUCAUAUAGCUAGUCCUUUGACCCAACUAAGCAGGAAGGGGACUCCUUUUGUUUGGAGUCCAGCGUGUGAGAGCAGUUUCUAGAAUCUCAAGCAAAAACUCGUUACUGCAUCGGUCCUUACAGUGCCUAAUGGAUCUGGUAAUUAUGUGAUAUACAAUGAUGCCUCUAAGAAAGGACUGGGUUGCUUUUUGAUGCAACAAGAUAUGAUGGUUACUUAUGCUUCUCGUCAGUUGAAAAGUCAUGAGCAAAACUAUCCUACACAUGAUUUAGAGUUGGCUGCAGUAGUUUUUUGCACUAAAGAUUUGGAGGCACUAUUUAUACGGUGAGAAGAUUCAAAUCUUCACCGACCAUAAGAGCUUGAAGUACUUCUUCACUCAGAAGGAGUUGAAUUUGAGGCAGCGAAGAUGGCUCGAGUAGGUUAAAGACUAUGACUAUGAGAUUUUAUACCACCCAGGUAAGGCGGAUGUGGUAGUUGAUGCUCUUAGUAGGAAGAUAUCACAUUCUGCAGCACUCAUUAUUAGGCAGGUUCAUUUGCACAGAGACCUUGAGAGAGCUGAGCUUGUAAUUUUAGUAGGGGAAGUUACCUCACAGUUAGCUCAAUUGUCAGUACAGCCAACUUUGAGGCAGAGAAUUAUUAUUGCCCAGCUCACUAACCCUUAUUUGGUGGAUAAGCGACGCUUAGUAGAAGGAGGGCAAGUUGAGGAGUUCUCUAUAUCCACUGAUGAGGGACUCGUGUUUGACAAACGAUUAUGUGUGCCAGCAGACAAUACAGUUAAGACUGAGUUGUUGACUGAGGCCCAUAGUUCCCCAUUUUCUAUGCAUCCAGGCAGUACAAAGAUGUACUAGGAUUUGAAGCGAGUUUACUAGUGGAGAAAUAUGAAGAGAGAGGUGGCAGAUUUUGUUAGUACAUGUCUGGUGUGCCAGAAGGUGAAGGCACCAAGACAAAAGCCAGCAGGGUUGUUACAACCCUUGGGUGUGCCAGAGUGGAAGUGGAAGAAUGUAUCUAUGGACUUCAUUUCUGGACUACCUAGGACCCUGAAGAGUUAUACAGUGAUAUGGGUUGUUGUUGACAGACUCACGAAGUCAGCACACUUCAUUCCAGGGAAGUCCACUUAUACUGCCAGUAAGUGGGCACAAGUUCUGGGUUUGAGUCCCGAGCAACCCAUAUAAUUGUAUAUAACUGAAGUAGUGAGGUUGCAUAGGGUAUCGGUAUCCAUUGUUUUUGAUAGAGAUGCCCGUUUUACUUUCAAGUUCUGGAAAGGACUUCAGGCUACCAUGGGCCUGAGAUUGGACUUCAGUACAACUUUUCAUCCUCAGACUGAUGGUCAGAUAGAGCGUUUGAAUUAGAUUCUGGAGGAUAUGUUGCGAGCUUGUGUGUUGGAGUUCUUAGGGAGUUGGGACUCCCACUUGAACUUGAUGGAGUUCGCCUAUAAUAGCUACCAUUGGCAUGGCACCGUUUGAAGCUUUGUAUGGUAAAAGUUGUAGAUCCCCGGUUUGUUGGGGUGAGGUUGGUGAGCAGAGAAUGUUAGGCCUUGAACUAGUUCAGCCCACCAACGAAGCCACACAGAAAAUUAGAGCUCGCAUAUUGACAACACAGAGCAGACAGAGGAACUAUGCUGAUGAACGACGUAGGGAUCUUGAGUUUGACGUAGGAGACAUGAUUUUUCUGAAGGUAGCACCUAUAAAGGGUGUUCUAAGAUUCGAGAAGAAAGGGAAGUUGAGUCCACGUUUUGUAGGGUCGUUUGAGAUUCUUGAAAGGAUUGGCCCUGUAGCUUAUCAUUUGGCCUUGCCUUCGCAAUUAUCUGUAGUUCAUGAUGUGUUUCAUGUCUCCAUGCUGAGGAAGUAUGUGGCAGAUCCCUCACAUAUAGUCGACUACAAACCGUUGCAAAUUAACGACAACUUAAGCUAUGGGGAGCGGCCAGUUGAGAUUUUGGCUAAGGAAGUUAAACUGCUUUGUAACAGAGGAAUUACAUUGGUCAAGGUUUUGUGGCGAAACCACGAGGUUGAGGAAGCUACUUGAGAGAAAGAGGACAACAUGAGAGCGCAUUAAAAUUGAGAAACUUUCGUCCUUGAAAGUUCUAAUCCUUGUAUAGCUCGGGAUAAUGAGCUCUCAUGUUGUCCUCUCUCUCCCAAGUAGCUUUUUCAACCUCGUGGUUUUGAUAAAGAACAUUAAUUAAUUCCCCUGUUAUGAAGCAACUUAACUUCUUUUGCCAAAAUCUCAACUGGUUGCUCCUCAUAGCUCAAGUUCUCAUUGAUUUGCAAUGACUCAUAAUCAACUAUAUGUGUUGGAUCUGUUACACACUUCCUCAGCAUGGAUACAUCGUAUACAUCAUGAACUGCAGACAAUGACAGAGGCAAUGCCAAAUGAUGAGUUACGAAACGUGGACUCAGGUUUCCCUUCUUCUCAAACCUCAUAACACCCUUCAUAGGUGCUACCUUUACAAAAACCAUGUCCCCUACAUCGAACUCAAGAUCCCUACGUUGUUCAUUGGCGUAACUCUUC
rnacentral:lncRNA from 1 species